rnacentral:lncRNA from 1 species
UGAACCAAGUUAAAACUCAAACAAAAUGGUGAGUGUUACUAAAAGAGUUGUCUUGUUAUCUUUAUUGCUUUGUUUUAAUGUGUUUUUAGUGAAUGCGAUUGUUAAAAAUGUGGUGAAUAUGAAAGAGGAGGAAGAGAAGAAAUUAAUACAAGGAGAUGGCUUUGGAGCUUGGGACAAGGGUAGGUUCUAUGGUGGGCAUGGUGUAUCUAGAGGUGGCAUUGGUGGAACUAGAAAUGGAGCUGGUUAGAACUAGUGUAGUUGGAGGUGGUAUUGGAGCUGGAACUGGAUCUAAUGGAGCUGGAGUUGGAGCUGGAAUUGGAAUUGGUGGUGGUGGAAUUGGAACUGAAAACGGAGAUGGUGCUGUUUAUGGAGCUGGUUAUGGAGUUGGUUAUGGAGCUGGUAAUGGAGUUGGUUAUGGAGCUAGUUAUGGAGCUGGAGAAGCUGCUGGUGGUGGAACUCGUGGAACUGGAACUAGUGGAACUGGAACUGGUGGUGGUGGAGCUGGAGCUGGAGCUAGUGGUGGUGGAACUGGAACUGGAGGUGGUGGAGCUGGAGUUGGUGGUGGUGGAACUGAAACUGGUGGUCGAACUGGAACUGGUAGUGGAACUGGAACUGGUGGUGUUGGAAUUGGAACUGGUGGUGGUGGAGCUGGAACUAGAAUUGGAACUGGAAUUGGAACUAGUGGUGGUUUAGGAGCUAGUUUUGGUUUUGGUCAUGGUGGAGUUAGAGCUAGUUUUGGAGCUGGUUUUGGUUUGGGUCAUGGUGGAACUGAAAUUGGAGCUGGAUCUGGAAGUGGUGGAGUUGGUGGAGUUGGAGGAGCUGGUGGAGUUGGAGGAGCUGGUGAUGGUGGAACUGGAACUGGUGGAGUUGGAGCUAAAGGUGAAAAUGGCGAUGGUGAAAAUAGACACCAUUGAUAUUACAAGCUUCAGGAUGCAUGCAUGCAUAAAUCAAAAUGCAAUAAUAUUUAUUAAUCCAAAUAUAUAUAUAUAAAAUGUUUUUCCUCUUCCUGUGCAUUUAAUGUAUGACAGCAUAAUAAAUGUACGUGAAUAUCAAAGAUGAGUAGGUUUCAUUUAAUCAUAAUUCGAAUUUGAUUAUUAUUUACUUAUCAUCUGGAUUUAUAUUUAAUUAAAAAUUUAAACUUAAACAUAUAUUAGCUUAUGGUACAAUUAUAUUGUUGAAAAUUUUUAAUGUAUAUAUUUAUUUGGUAUAAAUAUUUUAUUAUAAAGUUGAUCUCUAUUAAGAUUAAGAUAAAUUUAAUAUACAUUCGUACUUUAAUGUUUAUUAAAAGUAGAAUUUUGUAUUAUGUUUAUAAAUAUAGAUUUUGGAAAAACAUUAUAAACAUCUUAUCAAUAAAAAUACGUUCUCUUUUGUUCUUUAUUAUUUAUUUGAUAACACGUUAUCACAUUAUAUUCUUUUUUCAUAAUUUUCUUCUAAAAUUUUUCCAUUUUUUUUCUCAAUUCCCUUUUAAAAUUUAUCUAGUUUUUUUUCUCAACUCCCUUUUAAAAACCCCUUGGUAAUUAUAUUUGUUACUCUUUAAAAAGAAUGAAUACUUUAGUCAUUUUUCAAUUAAAUUGAUAUUUAACUUGUAAUAUCAACUCAAUAAAAAUUUAAAUAUAAUAUAAAUUAAUUAUAAACGGAUAUGAUAUUCCAAUAUUUGAAUUUGUUACACAUUUAAAUAAAACAUAUUUGAAUAAAAAAUUCAGUUGAUGGUAAGUAUUUAAAAUACUUAUCAAACAUCUAAAAUCUUGUAAGUUAAAAUCUUUUUAGUCUCUUUAUUUUUAUUUUCAAAAAUUUAAUUAUUUUAUUUUUUAAAUUUUAAAAUUUAGAUUCAAUUGUUAAUCUUGUUAAAAUUCUUAUUUUAAUUUAUUAGUGUGAUUUUUUUAAAUUAAAAAAAACUCACUUAAUAAUAUAUAAUAAAAAUAAUGGUGUUCAAAUGAACUUAAAUUCAAUAAGUUAAUAUAAUAAAAACUAAUUACAUAGAACAAAAAUAAAUAUUUAUUUUCAAAAUCUAGUGUAGUGGGCUGGUGGCUUAAAAACUUUUCUUAAAAUAUACAAAUAUAUUUCAUUACAUAAUAUUAUUUAAAUUAUAAUAUAUUAAUAUUCAAAGCUUAUAUUGUUUUUAAAGUUGAUUUUGAUGAAUCCAAUUGUGCUGUAUAGAUAAUGUACCCAUAUUAUCUUCAUGAAAAAGAAAAGGAAAAAAUUGAACAAGGGUCUAUAUAUAGUUGUAUAAAUUUAGAUCAUAUUUGUUCUUUUUGACACAAUGUAUAGAACUACUUAUACCCCCUCCCCAAUCCAUAAGUAGGAGGAAAAUUUGCUUCAACACACUCGAUCCCACGUCCUCCUGCAUUGGCAACAAUGUCAAUGUCAAUCGAAUUAAGACUCAAUCGACAGAAAUGAAGGCAUAUUUUAACCACAAAAACAUAUUUUAAAUGUAUAAAAACUCUAUUAUUGUAACACCUCAUAACCAGCCUAAAACUUUUGACCGGAUCUUGAAUGUCACAUUGACUACUUCAAAACUUGGUUGUUGCUUUCCAAAACUUUUACUUGUUUUCUGUAAUCAUAAAUUCUUAAAAUCUCGAUUCCAUUUAUUAGUUAUAAAAUUUAACCAUUUAUCCAAUAGAGUUUUUCCAAAUCCAUUGCUCUUUACUAUCGAGUUAACAUAAAAGGCAUAUUAUUAAGUCAAUUAUUUUUUCGAAAACACAAUUGCUCAUUUCAAAGUUUUGUAGCGGGAAAAUUCAUAACUUCUUUUAUUUUAAAAAUCGAUGAUCUUUUAAAUAAUCAAAAAAUCGAACAGAUAAUUUAAAAUAUUAACUAAAAAUCCAACAGAAAAAAAACCAAAAAGAAAUUCCAAAAGUUACCAACAAUCCAAAAGUCCAUAUUUAAAAAAAAGUCUCUUAAAAACUGUUUUAUACUGAGAAUUCAAGCUCCCAUGUGCCGUCUGUUCCUAAGUCUACUAAAUCCUUGAGACGAUAAAAUAUUGGGUGAGCUAGAAGCCCAGUGUGGUUUUAACUCAAGUAUACAAAAAAUUAACAUAUCAAACAGAUCAAUUUAUUAUAAAGAACUUACAAAUUUUAAAUUUGCAUAUUUUAGUAUGCAUGUUUAUGAUAAUGCAAAAUUUUCAGAAAUAUCCUACCCAACUUGGUACACACCAAUUAGAGUUUCCCAGAACUCGUUUAUCCAAAAUACACCAACAGAUAAUUGUAGACAGUGCCACCAGAAUCUCAGACAAGCUGCCAAAACAGAUAUAUGUGGUCAUGCCACCAGAAUGGCAAUUAAGUUGUCAGAACAAAUAUGUGACUAAACCACCAGAUAGUGCAGAUCAUUAAACUGCCAGAAUAUCCUCCUUACAAUAUCGUCCCAACCCCAUAUAAUGUGACAUGACAUGCAAGUACAAAAUUAGAAUAGUAAGAAUGUUGAACAUACAAUCAUAUAUUUAACAAAAAUUAGCCGGCAUGAGAUUUCAUACUUUGCAGAACAGAUAUGUUAGAUUUCAAUAAUAACAAAUCAAUUAAAUCAGAAUAGCCACAAUAUCACAUGCCAUGAGAAUCGGAACAAAACAUAACUUAUUAAUAAUUGUAUAACAAUCAUUUGAUGGAUUUAAACAAAAUAUUUACCUUCUUUCAACACAAAUAUCCUUUAGCAUAUACGGCUACUCUAUGUUACUUGUAAUAAUUUUCACAUUACUAAAUUAAUCGAAAAUCAAAACAUGUUAUAUACUAAUCAUACGAGAUAAAACACACACCUUAAACCAACAAUCUAAAAUCACCAAUCUAAAAUCACCAAUCUAAAUCACCAGUUCGCUGGAGGAGGAUUCGCCUCCUGAACCUCACCUAAAUAGAAUUGAAACAAGUAAGCCAAUACCAUUAAGCCAAAACCUCCACCACAAACCUCUCUAGUAACACAUUGAAAAUAAACAAAUAAAUAGCAAUCCUAAGAAGAGAACGAUUACUAUACUGAUAUUCCUUACCUUACACGGCCAAAACGAAUAAGAAGAGUGACGACAUUUGAACAACAAUAAAGUGUACAUACACAAGGAGAUUUUGGUUUGUUAUUAUCCUAAUCAAAUUGCUUAGAAUUUGAGUUUCACUCAGUUUCUGACAGCUUUAGGCGGCACAAUUGGCAGAUACAAAAAUAAUUUCAUUUUUGCACACGACAAGAUUUAAACUUGAGACUUAUGAGUAAGCUAAAGCUUUACCAUUUAACUAGUAGAUUCAUUCUUGUUAACAAAUAUACAAAAAUAAUAGAUAAGCUAGGAGUGACUAGUCAUAUAUAGUGAUAAAAAUAAUAAAAAUUUCAAAGAAAGAGAAUUCAACACAAAACCUCAAACCUAUUACUAGCACACUCAACCACUGGACCAAAUCAGUUUACUUGCCAUAACUCUUGCAACAUUUAUUUUAAAACAGGGUGUGAUAACCUUUGGUUUACUAACCUAAUUCCUACUAACCUAGUUUUUGAGAUGUGACAAUUAUUAUAUUUAUAAAACAUUAAUAAUGAUAAGUAACCUAAGAUUUUUAAUUUAUCACAUCAAUUAAUAUUAUUUUAACUAUUAUUAUUAAUUAAUACUGUAGCGAUGUAAAAAUUUUGGCUUUCGGUCGCUAAUUGUGGCGAUUUAGUGAAAACUUGAAAACUGAAUUUUGAUUUUGAAAUAAAAAGGGGAGUCGCCACUGAUCCUUUUUAUAGGUGUGAUCGGACACCUAAUGAAUUUAUUUUUAAAACAAAAAGAAGGCCGAGUCCAGGUCUACGUCCAAAUCCAGAGAAAAGUUAGGGUUCGGGAGUCGGUUACGCGCGAGGAAGGUAUUAGCACCCUUGUGACGCCCAAAAUUGGUAUCUUAUAAAACACGUGUUGUCUUGAUUUUCAAAAAUACGAGUUCAAUGUAACAUUUAAUCGUGAUCAGAUUGAAAAGACGAGAAAUUUUAGUUUUUUUUUUCAGUUUUUAGAAGGGUGUUCCGUCUUUAACACGAGUCGACAAAUUUCAUCUAACAUAGCGAUGAAAUCUAUGGCUUAAUGUUAAAUCGGUACAUUGCCUUAUUUAUUAAAAUUAAUUAGAAGACAAGAGUAAGAUUUUCAAACUAAUGCAAAGCAAAUUGAUAAAAAAAAAUAAAUGACAGAACUAGAAACAUAUUGAAGCAAAUAUAAGUGCGACAAACAUACUAAAAACAAUAAAGAUAUAUGCAAUAUUAAACGUAACACUAGAAUUAAACAUGAAAUGGAAACAAUGAAUACACAUAUAUAAUAAUGAUAUUAAGAAUAUGUACGUAGAAUAUAUAUAUAUAUGUAAAUAAUAAUAGUAUUAGAAAUAUGCUAUAUAAUAUUCGAAACAUAUACAUGAUAUGUAUAAAAAUACAACAUUUAGAAGGUAUAUAUAUACACAUAAUAUAUGAAAAUACGUAUACAAUACAAUGUUAAAACACUUAUAUAAUGUAUACAUACAUAAUUAUAAUGUUGAAAGAAAACAUAAUAAUAUUAAUAACAAUACUAAUAUAAAGAUAUACCUAUAUAUAUAUUAAAGAUAUAUACAUGUAUAAUAAAAUAUAUGAAUAAUAUAAUAAAAAAAUACAUAUACGUAAUACAUAUAAUGAAAAUAAUAAUACAUAUAAUACACAUAGUAUAAGAAUAUAAGAGUGUUAAAAACAUUUACAUAAUAGUAUAAAAAACAUACAUAAUGCAAAGUUAAAAAUAAUAUAUGAAAUAUAUAUACAUAAUAUCUAUUAAAAGAAAAUACACAUAAUAUAUAUAUGCAUGUAUAAAUAAUAAUAAUGAUAUUUAAAAAAAAUUAUCAACAAUGUUAUAUAAAAGUAUAUAUAUAUGAAUGUUAAAAUAUUUAUUGGAACUAAAACUAAUACUAAUAGUAGUAAAACUAAUAAUAUAAUAUAAUAUAAAAAUAGGUAAUUAAUAACACUAUGAUAUGAAUACGCAUAUAUGCAUAAAAAAAAUACAUGCCCAAAAUUCAAUAAUAAUAAUGAAACUAGAAAUAAUAACGAAACACACAUAAAUAAAUAAAAUAUAAUAAUAUUAAAAUAAAGUAAAUAAAAAAUACUACAUAUAGACAUAUAUACAAUAAUAAAAAAAUGUGAUAUAUAAAAAAAUGUACAUAAGGUCGUAUAAAAUAUAUAACUAUGACACUAAAGUACAUACAUGAUAUAUAUGAAAACAUAAUAUAGCAUUAGAAAUACAUCUUAGAAAUGUCUCUACGUAAUAUGGGGUUAAAAAAUAUACAUAAAUAAUAAUAAUAAGUAAUGAAUAAAUAUAAUGAAGAUAGUAAAUAUAAAAGUAAAAAGGGAGAAAAUAUAAUAUAUAAACAAAAAAAAACUAGGUAUAAUAAUGAUAUAAAGAAAAUAAAACAAUAAUAUGUUAAAAAUAAAUUAUAAUAAUGUUCAAUAGUAAAAGGCAUGUCUAUACGUAUAUAAUAAAAUAUAUAUUAAUAAUAAUAAGGAUAAUAUAAGGAUAUAUACAUGAAAUGGUACAAAAAUAUAUAACUAAUAAUAUUAAAAAAAAUAAAAGGUAUACAUGAUAUAUACAUAAACAUAUAUGAUAUGUAAUGGCCUAAAUUUAAGGUUAUCGGAACAAUGGUUUCGUAACCAUAGAUCCGAUUUAAAGAGAAAUUUAUUUCAAUAUUUUUGCUUGAAAAUUGAUAUGAUAGGAAAAUCGUAUGAAAAUAUUGAUAGAAAAAUUUUACCGAUUUAGUGAUUAGAUAGAAAAAGAAAUUAUUGAAGAAAUUGGGUAAAGACAAUGUAUCGAGACCUCUAUCUUGUAAAACCAAGUCAAAAAUAAUUUUAUAAAUAUUUAUGAAAUGUUAUUAAUGUAGUAUUAAAAUUUCGUUAGGAAAUUUUAAUGUUUGGGUAGUCAAUUAAAUGAAAAGGACUAAAUUGUAAUAGGUGUAAAAGUUGCUAGAGUGAUUAAAUAGCUUAAGAAUCUAAUGAGAAAGGAUUUAAAAGGAAAUUAGACCCAAAAGUUAUUUGGGCUGGACGGCAAGGGUAUGAAAUCAGCAGAAAAAUUGAUAAAUUAAGGGUAAAAUUGGAAUAUUGCAAAAUUAACUAAAUAAAGCUAGGACUAAAUAGGAAAUAUCUAGAUUUCUCUUCAUUUCUCUUCAAUUCCAGCAGCUAAAAACGCCAUAGGAGAGUUCUCUAAGCUGGUAUUUCAUAAUUUUUGCACCAAGUGAGUUAAUCCUUGCCUUUUUCUUCUAAUUUUUGUGUUUCUAAGACUUUUACAACUAGGUCCUACUAUUAAAUUCAUUAGUUUUUGAUUUCAUGGAUGAAAUUGAAAGUCACCAUGGUUGAGUACUGUAAGUUUAUGAUGAAAUAGAAUGAAAUUAAAGCUUUAAUUUGUUUAUGAGAUGAUUUUAUUAGGUAAUUUCAAUAGAAAUUGAUUUUUAGGACCUAAUUAUGAAAAUGCUUGGAAUUAAAGUCUAUUGCUGAAAUUCUGAUUCCUAAAGGUUAUAAACUAGUUUAAGGUGAUAGAAUAAAAUGUUAAUUGAGAAAAAUCAGCUCAAUUGAGAGGCUAAUUGAGUAGGGACGCAAUUAUCAUUUAUUAAAAGCUUAAGGAAAAAAUGGUAAUAAACAGCUUGCAAAAAAACAGUUUGGACAGCAGCAGUAGACUAACGUUGAAAAAUCACCAUAAAUUGUAGAAAUCGAAUUAGAAGAUGAAAAAAAUAUGGAAUUAAAGCUUAUUAAGUCUAGUUUCUCAUAGAAGAAAUAGUGUAAGCAAUGGAUUUGUAAAUUUUGAGAUAUAAUGAAUUUUGUGAGACAAGGUCAGAAUGAAUUCGGAUUCCCCUGUUUUGACUUUGAAAAAUCAUAAAAAUUUGAAGAAAAACAAUUAUGGGCUUAAAUUUAUAUGUAUAGAUUUAAGAGAAACAAACGAGAAUAUUAUUUGAAUUCUGUAUGAAGAGAUAAUUAAUUUUUAGUGAAGAAGGGUCAGAACUGUUGACAGCAGAACAGGGGUGACUUUAAAGAAUAAACUGUACUUAUUGGCUAAACCAAAAAUUCUGAAAAUUUUAUGGUAAAAAUAUAUAUGAGUAUAGUUUCAGGUAAAAUUAACGGAUCUUAAUUUUGAGUUCCGUAGCUCAAGUUAUAAAUAAUUUAGUGACUAUGACUCAAGUAGACAACUUUGAAUGAACUAUAAAUAAUAGUUGAAUUAUAGAGAAUGUUGCAUAUGAACAUGAAAUGUAUUAAAUUGAUAAUUAAAUUUAUUUAUUUAGAUCCGGAAGAUUCAAAUACGAAGCUAGAUCGAGGAAAGGAAAAAGUUUGGGAUUAGUAGAUUUUUAUUGUUUACAAACAAGUAUCAAGGUAAGUUCAUGUAACUUGAAUUAUAUUCUUAAAUACUUGAGAUUGUAUGUUAUUGAUGUGAAUAUGAUUUGAAUGUUCAUUGUAUGAAAAUUUAUGAAACAUUGAUAUAUUUGAUAAAAUGGGAAGAAAUCCCGGUUGAAUGAAAGGAAAAUUCGAUGGAUCUCUGAAAAGGAAUUGACGGUAAAAAGGAUCUAGCCCGGACGGGUGAUCCUAUCCUGAUAUAGCCCUCCCGAAGAAUAUGUGUAAAAUGGAUUUAGCCCGGACGGAUAAUCCGAAUUAGGGUCUGAAUUUAGCCUGGACUGGUAAUUCAGAUCCAAGCUCAUUAGAGUAAUUGUCGUUGUAGGGGAUUUAGCCUGGACUGGUAAUCCCGACAAUACUCUAUGAGUUUAUAUUGCAGGGGAUUUAGCCUGGACUGGUAAUCCCGCUGCAAGGUUGAGGUUCGCGGGAGUGUGCUCUCUGAAAUGGAAAUGUGCGCACAUGAAUAUGAAUUGACAGACCCGGAAUUGUACAAUAAAUGUGUACCUCUGAAAAUCCAUCGAAAUUCCGAUAAAUUCAACGAGAUAAAUAUGGAAAAAUAACAAGGAAAUGGAAAUCAUGGUAUUGACGAGCUCAUCAAUCAUGGUAUAUAUAUAUUAUUGAUACAUGGAAAUUAUUGUACUAACUUGAAUGUUGAGUUUGUGCAUGUUAGGGUAAUAAUGCAUUGAAUGGAUAUAUGAAUGUUUAUUAUAUUGUAUUGAAAAUAUUAGGUAAGUAUAAUUCUUGUUACAUGAGCUUACUAAGCACAAAGUGCUUACCCUGUUUUCUUUUUCCCUGUUUUGUAGUGUUAAGAGCUUGGAGGUCGGAUUUGGUCGGAGACACAUCACACUGUCAACCUCAAGAUUUCGGUAUAUAAAGAAACUUUAUUUUGGAAAUCAAUGGCAUGUAUAAGCUAACAAAGUAAAUGUUGACGUGAAAUGAAUGUAAAGUUAGCCAUUAGUAUGGUAAACAAACCUGGUUUUAGAUAUGUGAUGACGUUAUGUUAUAAAUAUGCAUGAAUUUAUCUUGAAAAUAUGUUGAAUUGAUUUGGUUGAUGUGGAUUAGUCUCGAUUUAAUAUUGCAGGGAAGGUUAGAUAUUUAUAAAGGGGAUAUAUUGAAUAUAAAAAAAAUUAAUUCGUAAACUCCGGUAAUGCCUCGUACCCUAUUACGGCAAUCAAUACGGGUAGGGGUAUUACAUGAUAUAUAUUAGAAAUGAUAAUAAUAUAGAAAAAAUUAUUAAUAUAAUGCAUAAAAACGUACAUGUAUAUACACAUAUAAAUAUUAAAUGAAAAUCAAUACUAGUACUAAUAAUAUUAUUAAUAAAUGUGAUAAUAAUAAUAAUAGUAUGUUAAUAACAACAAUAAUACUAUGGUAAAACAAUAAUAAUGCAUAAAAUAUAGAAUAAUGCGUGCAAAAUAAAUUUACAAUUAAUCAGGUUACAACAUAUAAAUAAAGAAAAUAAUGCAAACAAUAUAAUCAAUAUCAAUAAAUAAACACGAAUAAUAAAGAAAACUGUAAAAUGAAUCUAAAUAAAACUUAAUUGAAAUCGAUUCAAAAUAAGGGGGAUAAUUGAUAAACAAAACAAACUACUGGGAAUAAAAUAAGGACCUAGGCGAAUGCAUGAAAAACCAAUGAGGACCAAAUGGGUAAUAAACCCGUCCACUCAAAACGCAUUGCUUGAUCAGGGACCAAAAUAAAACAGUAAGGAAUUUUAAGGGGAAAUUAAAAGAAAUAAAAGUAAAAGGGGACCACAUUAAAACCAUCCUCAAAGGCGGAGGGACUGAGGGCGCAAAUAGCCCCUCAGUCCAAAAACAAACGGAUCCUAGGCGGUUUUCUGGUCUGGGUUCGGGUCAGGCGAUCGAACGACGCUGUUUUGGUCCUUAAGUAUUUGCCCCAAAACGACGCCGUAUAAAAGGGCUAUAAAAGCAAAUUUUUUCUGAAAAAUUCAUCAUUUCAUCAGUGCAGAAGAAAAAAAAAAGAAAAAAGGGGUGAUACCCUUUGGACUUGGACGAUUUUCGGUCACCGGAUUGAUGCCCGUCCGUUGCCGGCGUCCGCCGUGCACGGCGGUCAGAGGUGCAAAAACCUCCAAAUCUGCUCCUCACGUUUCCCUCACUCCAUAUUCGAGUUUGAAGCAAGCCAAAGGAGGCCUAGGAGACCGGAUCGAGCCAUUGGAACCAACCGGUUCUGACUUCUCCGAUCUCCAAGACGGUAACAAAAUCAUUUCCUCCUUUUUUGAAUAUGAGUGUAUUUGUGUGUGUAUAUGUGUUGAAUCGACUGGAAGAUAAAAUGCUAGACUAAUCAGUAUGAAGAAACAACCUUUUCUCCUCUUGAAAAUCUUUAAUUUCUGCUAUUUUAUUUCUUUCUCGUAUGUGUUUUUUUCGUUUCUCUUUUUUUUUACAAUAUUUUCCAUUUGGCUUAUAUAUUCCAUCUGCUAUACUGUCCGUUUCCGUUUUGUUGCCGUUGCGUGUCCUUUUUGUUCUACAGGUGGAGCAGGUGGUGGAUGCGGCAGAUGGCAUGGGGUGCUGCGGCGCUGAGGUGACCUUGGCGACAAGGUAGGUGGCUAGGGUUUGUUCUUCAUUUGGGUUGCUUGGGGUUAGUUUGGGCUUAGGUUAAUACUGGGCUUAGAGUCUGGGUUAAAGUGUUGUAAACGGGCUUGGGUUUUAUGUUGGGUUAGUUUUUUUAAUUGGGUUUUGGUUUAAUAAUUGGGCCUCUCAGGUUUGGGUUUGAAAGUGGGUUAAGGGGUUUGGGUAAUGUAUUGGGUUUUGGUUUAAUGUAAAUAUAACUGGGCUGGGUAGUUUAAAACGGCCCAAAAUUGGCCUAUAACAGUUGCCCCUCUUUGCUCAUUGUCGUGUAACAGGAAUAGAGUAAAGAUACAAAGGAAGGCCAAUUUUGCCUAGUCCUGUUGAGUCUUGACUUCGUUGGUGCUUUUCUUGUUCAGGUAAUCUUUUUCCAGUCCAUCGCAUCUUGUAGCUUUGGUUAAAUCCACUGUAUCUUCUGACAUAUGCCUUGAAGCUUCAAUCUUCUCUAAUGUAACUUCAUGGAUAUGAGAUUUAUGGCUUCGAUCUGCUUCACUUGUAACCUUAGAAAGAUAAGAUAUACAUCUUCAAUCUACUCUUCUAUCGUUUCAGUGAGAUAAGGUUUGUGGUCUUCUCUUCUGUAACUCUAGAAAGGCAAGGUCAGAUGUCCUCAAUCAACUCCACUGCAACUUCAGGGAGACAAGACUUGCAACUUUAAUCCUGCUCCACUGCAACUUCAUGGAUGCAAAAUCUGGUGUAUUCAAUCAGCUCCAAUCUUUAUUCUUUACUUGGCAUGUGAUCCUGAGCUCAACUCAUUUCUCGUAAUAUGAAUAUAACUCUUUAAAACAGACAUUAAAACAAAAAUUAAAAAUAGCUCAACACGUGAGCCAAGGCUCAACUCACCUCUCGCAAUAUGAGUUAAUUUUUGACAAACAGAAAUUUAAAAUACCUCAGCGUGUCCUGAGGCUCAACUCACCUCUGGCAAUAUGAGUUGAUUUAAAAAAAUAGACAUUAAAACAGAAAUUGAAAAUAGCUCAGCACGUGAGCUAAGGCUCAACUCACCUCUCGCCAUAUGAGUUGGCCUUUUUGAAACUUAAAAGCAGAUUUUGAAAAUACCUCGACAUAUGACCCGAGGCUCAACUCACUUUUCGCAAUAUGAGUUGAUUUUAAAAAUUAAAAGGCUCAACUCACCUCUCGUAAUAUGAGUUGAGUUUGAAAAUUAAACUGAAAAUACAGAAAUUGAAAAUACCUCAGCGUGUCCUGAGGCUCAACUCACCUCUCGCAAUAUGAGUUGAUUUAAAAACAGACAUUAAAACAGAAAUUGAAAAUAGCUCAGCACGUGAGCCAAGGCUCAACUCACCUCUCGCCAUAUGAGUUGGCCUUUUUGAAACUUAAAAAUAGAUUUUGAAAAUACCUCGACAUAUGACCCGAGGCUCAACUCACCUAUCGCAAUAUGAGUUGAUUUUAAAAAUUAAAAGGCUCAACUCACCUCUCGCAAUAUGAGUUGAUUUUUGAAAACAGAAAUAAAACAUCAAAAUACCAAAACUUGUCAUUUGGUAGAACUCAAGUGUCUUUUCCUUUGAUUCAGUACAGCUAUCAUCACAUCCUCUUGCUCUACUGGAGUACCUGUGUAUGUCAUGCAUGAUGUUAUCAUGAUAUGCACAUGUUUGUCUUAAAUGCCUUUAUGCCUGCAUGAUUUUGCUAUGCGCCUCAGGCAUGUUUGUCGCAUGUCCUUUUUCGUCACGAUUUUCGUGAUGAUAUGCAUUUAUUACUUCGGCUCUUAACUUUCUCUUUAGGCCCUGUACCCAUCAUCAAGCUUCAUGAGUAUUCUACAUUUCUCAGAUAUCACUCUUUUGCCCCUGGUUGAACUUUGUCCUUACUUUGAGGCUCUUGUACUUAUCAAAUUCUUAUCCGGGUAAUGCUUAACAUUUCUUUUGUUUAGAGUAUGUCAUUUCACUAUUUAUCAUGUAAAUGAACCACAUAAUGAGAUGCAUGAAAAUAUUCAGGUAGGGACAAAAAUGAUACCUCACAUUCAUUUAUUUCAACAGUAACAAACAAAGAAAGUUAACUACGAAUAGUAAAAAGUGUCAUAAAGAGAGAAGGGGUCACAUUUCAACAAAUACAAAUACUCUAGAUAUUCAACGCAUGAACUCUUCCACGUUCCUCAAUCAAGAAUCUUUUCGAGCAUGGCUUCUUGCGUAGAAUAUUUCGAGCUUUCAGAAAUACUUCAAAUGUCGUAGUCUCACUAUGUGACCCAUCGUUCAAAAAGCCUUUCUUUUUAAGCCAAUGUUUGUUUUAUUAGAACGCCCUUUAGGGUUUUCAUCCUAAUCUUUUGUGUUAAUCAAGACGCCCUUUUCGAGUCACCUUGAUCAUCUUUUUUUUUAGAUGCCCUUUUCGGGUUUUCAUCUUGAUUUUCUUUUUCUCAAGCAUAAUAUUUCUUCACAGCAUCUGAGUUUACUGAAUUCGGUAACUCCUUCCCAUCCAUCUCAGUGAGAAUUAAAGCUCCGCCCAAGAAUGCUUUCUUUACGACGUAUGGUCCUUCCCAAUUUGGUACCCAUUUUCCUCGCAAGUCUUUUUGUAUUGGGAGAAUCUUUCUAAGCACGAGUUCUCCUUCAUGGAAUUCUCUUGGACGUACCUUCUUGUCAUGGGCCGCGAUCAUUCUCUUUUGGUACAUCUGUCCAUGACAGAUUACCUUUAAGCGUUUUUCUUCGAUGAGGUUCAACUGAUCAUAUUGAGCUUGAACCCAUUCUGCUUCCUCUAGUUUCGAUUCCAUUAAGACUCGUAGAGAGGGGAUCUCGACUUUAAUAGGUAGCACAGCUUCCAUUCCAUAGACCAGAGAGAAAGGAGUUGCUCUCGUAGAUGUUCGCACAGAUGUGCGAUAUGCAUACAAAGCAAAUGGUAGCUUUUUAUGCCAGUCUUUAUAUGUCUCGGUCAUUUUCCCGAUAAUCUUCUUAAUAUUCUUAUUGGCCACUUCAACAGCUCUGUUUAUUUUCGGGCGAUAGGGUGAUGAGUUAUGAUACUUUAUUUGAAAUUGCUCACACACUUCCUUCAUCAUCUUGUUGUUCAGAUUCAUGGCAUUAUCUGAAAUGAUUCUUUCAGGCAAACCAUAUCGACAAAUGAUUUCCUUUUUCAAAAAUCUACAAACUGCAAUCUUCGUCACAUUGGCAAACGAAACGGCUUCUAUCCAUUUUUUGAAGUAAUCAAUAACCUCGAAAAUGAACCGGUGUCCAUUAGAAGCUUUUGGGGAAAUUGGCCCUAUAACAUCCAUGCCCCACAUAAAAAAACGCCAUGGAGAAGUCAUGACAUGAAGGGGCGAAGGAGAUACAUGAAUUUUAUCACCAUAAAUUUGACAUUUGUGGCAUUUUCAUGCAAAACUAAUGCAGUCACUUUCCAUCGUUAACUAGUAAUAACCGAGUCUCAUAAUCUUCCUGGCCAUAGUGAAACCAUUGACAUGUGUCCCACAAAUUCCCUCAUGGACAUCUUCAAGUAUUUUUCUGGCUUCAAGAGCAUCUACGCAUCUCAGGAGCACUUGAUUUUUUCCUCUUUUGUAUAGGAUGUCCCCAUUGAGAACAAAACCCGCUGCCAUUCUUCUGAUUGUUCUUUUGUCGUUCUCAUUUGCUUGUUCGGGAUACUUUUGAUUCUUGAUAUAUUCUAAGAUAUCAUGAAACCAUGGCUGUCCAUCUGGCUCCUUUUCAAUGCUGAAACAAUGUGCAGGGACUUUAUAUAUGCUCACUUGAAGAGGCAUUAUUUCCGUUUCUCUAUUUCCUUUAAACAUUGAAGCCAAAGUGGCUAGGGCAUCAGCUAACUGGUUUUCUUCUCGUCGAAAGUAAUUAAAAGUUAUUUCUUUGAAUUCUUUAAUCAACCCUGCCACGAGAUGAUUGUAUUUGACUAAUUUUGAAUCCCUCACUUCCCAAUCUCCACGGAUCUGAUAAAUCACCAAUGCUGAGUCUCCGUAUACCUCUAAAGUUUGGAUGUUUCAUUUAAUUGUUGCAUGAAGUCCCAUGAUACAGGCCUCAUAUUCCGCUAUGUUAUUGGUACAGAAGAAAUUCAGCCUGGCAGUGAACGGAUAAUGGUUCCCUUCUGGUGAUACUAAGACUGCUCCAAUCCCAUACCCCAAUGCAUUCGAUGCACCAUCAAAGUUCAUCUUCCAUGACUUUUCUUUUGAUGACUCACAUUCUUUUUCUGUAAUGCACAUCAAGUCUUCAUCUGGGAAAUCAAAUCUCAAUGGCUCGUAUUCCUCCGUUGUUCGAGAUGCUAAGAAGUUAGCUAUUGCGCUCCCUUUUAUCGACUUUUGGCUCACAUAGACAAUGUCGUAUUCUGAUAGUAAGAUCUGCCAUCGUGCCAUUCUUCCUGAGAGUGCAGGUGAUUCCAUCAUGUACUUUAUUGGGUCCAACUUUGAAAUUAGCCAUGUCAUAUGAUACAGCAUAUAUUGCCUGAGUCUCCGAGCUACCUAAACCAGAGCGCAACAGUAUUUUUCUAUGGACGAAUACUUUGCCUCAUAUUCAGUGAACUUUUUGCUGAGGUAGUAGAUCGCCUUUUCUUUCUUUCCUGAUUCGUCAUGUUGCCCCAGUACGUAACCCAUUGAAUUCUCGAACACAGUCAAAUACAAUAUCAAUGGUCUUCCCAGCAUUGGCGGUACUAGCACUAGAGGACUAGACAAAUACUGUUUUAUCUUGUCAAAAGCCACUUGGCACUCCUCAUUCCAUUCUCCGGGAUUAUGUUUUCGAAAGAGUCGAAAGAUUGGGUCGCAUUGGUUGGUAAGUUGAGCGAUAAAUCGGGCGAUGUAGUUUAAUCUCCCUAAAAAUCCUCUAACUUCCUUUUGCAUGCGCGGGGGUGGUAACUCUUGAAUGACUUUUAUUUUAUCUAGAUCAACCUUGAUACCUCUUUCACUGACAAUGAAGCCUAGCAACUUUCCCAAGUUAACCCCAAAUGUACAUUGGGCUGGAUUGAGCUUUAGCUGAAACUUUCUCAGUCUGUCUAACAACUUCUUCAGGUUCGCUACAUGCUCUUCUUCCCCUCAGGACUUAGCAAUCAUAUCGUUGACGUAGACCUCUAUUUCUUUAUGCAUCAUGUCAUGGAAUAAUGUUACCAUAGCCCUCUAAUAUGUUUCCCCAGCAUUCUUUAAUCCGAACACCAUCACCUUGUAGCAGAAUGUUCCCCACAUUGUUAUGAAAGUAGUUUUCUCUAUAUCCUUAGGGGCCAUCUUGAUCUGAUUAUACCCCGAGAAUCCAUCCAUGAAAGAAAACAAUGAAUGCUUUGCUGUGUUAUCCACCAACGUAUCAAUGUGUGGCAAGGGAAAAUUAUCUUUAGGACUUGCUCGAUUCAGGUCACGAUAAUCCACGCACAUUCGUACUUUGCUGUCUUUCUUUGGUACCGGGACUAUGUUAGCCACCCAUUCUGGAUAUUUGGAGGCUUGUAGGAAGCCAGCAUCGAAUUGCUUCUUGACUUCCUCUUUUAUCUUUAACAACAUUUCAGGUCUCAUUCGUCUUAGCUUUUGUUGAAUGGGUUUGCAUUCUGGCUUUAAUAGGAGCUUAUGGACCACUACAUCUUCACUCAAUCCUGGCAUAUCCUAAUAUGACCAUGCGAAUACAUAUUUGUACUCGCGGAGCAAAACAAUCAAAUUGUGCCUGGUGCCCCCUGAAAUAGAGGUGUCAAUCUUCACUUCUUGCUUCCUUUCUUCAGUCCCCAAAUUUAUUGUUUCAACAGAUUCUUGAUGAGGCAAAAUCUGUUUAUCCUCUUGUUCCACCAUUCUUAGCAGGUCAGGAGACAAGACAUAGUCUUCAGCAUUUUCUUCAGCUUCGAAUUCUCCUAAACAAACAGCCUUCUCAAAAUCGAUUUCAGGACUCGUAACAGGUUUGUUCAUGCUGUUGAUAUCUGAGCACCUGAAAGUUGAAUGGAAAAGAAAACUAUAGAGGGGCAUCCAAGUAUUGGAACCAAAAAACGAAAUGUUAUGGCAUGGUAUGAGGCGAAUGUAAGGAUAGGCUAUGAAAUGAGAAAAUGAUUAUGAAAUUAGUGAUAAUGCGAAAGAUCGUGACAAAAUGCAUCUUCAUUGAUGUUCAUUUAAAUGAUAAAGAGCAAAUCAUAAGCUCUUACAAAAGAAUCCCUCUAUUACUUAGAGACACACAAAAAGAAUAGUGUUAAUAUUGAGCAUUACUUUGGAGAAGAUUUAGAAACUACAAAGAGCUCCACAGUAGUCUAAUUGUUCAAAACAAAUCCAGGAGGACAAGGGCGUAUCGUUGAAACAUCCUUAAUUGCAUCACUUCUUUUGUCAAUGACAUUUAUACUGACAUUCUAAAGACCCCUUUAAAUAAUUAACAGUGUGUUUCGUGGAUUGUCUUGCUCGGGAUAUAUCAUUCUUGCAGAUGUAAAUAUUUUUGACAAAUGAGGGUACGUUAUGGGCUCCCAUUUUAUUUCUCGACCUAAGGUUCUUGCGAUUCUUCUUUCCUGAUCUUUCUUCCACUGUUUUCUUCUUUGACGCAUAUCUGGUUGGAACCCUAAACCGUAUCGAGCUUUGUGAUGUACUGGCUUUAAGGCCCUGACUAUUCCUUGCAGAUACCUUCCCAAACCUUUCCUUGCUUGGGCUCCUCUUCCCACAGUCAUCUUGAUACCCAUCCUGGUAUUUCUUGACAGUUUUGGCGUAGGAAUUCUGUUUCCCUUAGCGACGAAUGUGGAAUUGACAAAUUCAAGAGAUCGGAAGGAACAUUUUAUAGCAUCUUUACUUACUUCAAUGUAUGGCGCAUCAGCAGAGAUAGAUGCGACAAUGUCUUCUUCUCCCUCGACGGUGACCAAACAGUCAUCCAUGAUAAAUUUUACCUUUUGAUGGAAGGAUGAUGGGACUGCUCCAGCAGAAUGGAUCCAAGGUCUUCCCAAGAGACAAUUGUAUGAUGGUGUAAUGUCCAUUACUUGAAAUUCAACAUCGUUUAUGUAGAGACCCACUUCUAGAGGGAUCUCGGUUUUUCCUAUGACUUCUCGUCUUGUUCCAUCGAAUGCCCUUACUGUAGAAUGGCAAGGCCUCAGAUAGGACAAAUCCAUCAGAAUACUGGAAAGUGUGGCCAAAGGCAUGACGCUGAGUGUCGAUCCAUUGUUGAUGAGCACGUUCGGUAUUAUAUAACCCUUGCAGCGAGUUGUGAUAUGCAAUGCUUUCACGGAGCCCCUACUAUUGGGUGGUAUUUCAUCAUCACUAAAAAAAAUGAAAUUAUCCGUGUUUAGGUUAUUCACCCAUCUUUCAAGCUUCUCAACGGAUAUAUUGUUUGCCACGUAAGCUUGAUUCAACACCUUUAACAAGGCGUUCCGGUGUGGUUCUGAAUUUAACAGCAGAGAUAAUACCGAAAUUCGUGUUGGCUGCUUACUCAAUUGUUCCACCACGUUGUACUCACUGUGCUUGAUAAAUUUUAAGAAUUCCUGUGCUUCCUCCUCGUCCACAGGCUUUUUAGCUUCUUGCUUAGGCACAGUUUUAUGCUCAUCUUCGGUCACAUGCAUUGGUGCUUUUCCUUUCUGUUUCAAGUCAUUAUUCUUCUUUGCCGGCUCAAUCUCUUUAGAAUAACAUCUUCUACAACGAGUGAAAUGACCUACUUCCCCAACACUUCUAGUCAUGGCUUUGGACUUUUCAACUUCAGGUGUGACGAUGUUGACGUCAUAUUUCCACGGCACCGCGUUGUCGUCCUUGUAAGGGAAAGGAGAUGGCACCUCGAUUAUCAAUUUUGGUUUCACCGGCUCCUUCUUCGCGUCGUAAUAAAUUAUUAACGGUCGGUCGGCGCUAUACGAGAAACCUGACGAUUGAUGGUCAAAGGCGCAUAUUUCUCCUCCAUCGGCCUUUUCGCCUUUAUAAAAGAUCUCAAUCUCCUUAUUAUCCAUCAUGUUUUGAAAUAACCUUUUAAAUUCCUUACAUAACUGAACGCCGUGCCCUGCAAUUCUAUGGAAAUCGCAAAAACCUUGACUUCCUUCUCUGAAAUUUCUGUCGGGGUGACAGAGCAAUCCCUUCUUAACUAGUACCUCCUAGAUUUUUUGCAGAGGCGUUCUUAUUUCAGAAACCCUUCUUCUACUUUGCUGUAUGUCCUCCUCUCCUACUGCGCUCACAUUCCCUUCGGUGUAGUUUGGGAAUGGGUUCCCGGCUGUACCGCCAGUACCAUCAAAUCGCAGAAUGCCUGCAUCGAUGAGUCAUUGAACUCUCCUUUUGAAAGCAAGACAGUUUUUCGUAGAGUGCCCCUGGUUCCCAGCAUGGUAUGCACAACUAGCAUUUGGAUAGUACCAUUUCGGGUAUGGAGGCCUGAGGGGUGCCAUGUAAUAGGGAGAUAUUAAUUGCUUCUUCAAGAGUUUUGGGUACAAUUCCCCAUACGACACAGGAAUAGGAGUAAAUUGCGGUUUCUCAGGAUUGGGUCUUGCUGGCCUCUGUUCGUUUCUGGGUUGGCUUUGAACAGGUACAGUGUUUUGUGGGAAUGUGGUGAGGGGUCUUUGAUUGUUCGCGGCGUAUACGGGGUAGGAAGGAGGUGGCGCUUGGUAAUAAGGGGUUUGACGGGGUAAUAGAAAUUUGGAGGUGGAUAAUUUUGAGGUCGGGGUUGGUUUAGAUAUGGAUUAGGGGUAUAACGGCUUCCCAUUCCCACCAUAUGGGCUUCUGGUUCUUUCUUCUUCAUGGGCGCUGCCCUUUUUGAACUUUCUGAACCUUCCAUCCUCCCACUUUUGAUGGCGUUCUCAAUAAGUUCUCCGGAUAUUACGAUAUCCGAAAAAUCCUUCGUAGCACUUCCCAUCAGUUUGUCAUAGAAAGGCGCUUUUAACGUGUUGAUGAAAAGGACCGUUAUCUCAGUCUUAGUUAGUGGAGGCUCCACUUGGGCCGAGAUAUCUCUCCACCUUUGCGCAUACUAUCUAAAUGUUUCUGCUGGUUUCUUUUCCAUUAUUUGUAGAGUCAUUCGAUCAGGCACCAUAUCCGAUACAUGCUUGUACUGCUCACAGAAUACUGAUGCCAAAUCCUUCCAGGAUCGGAUCUUUUCCCUAUUAAGCUGGUUAUACCAUCGAAGAGCCGAUCCUACUAGACUAUCUUGAAAGCAAUGUAACGCCCCAAAAAUUGGGCCUAGAAGAGUUGGGCUUUAAGUUUGGGAUUCAGAUAGAAGAAAACCUGAAUAUUGAGAAGUUUUAAAUAUUACUAGUGUUUAAAAUAUAUAUAUAUAUUGAUAAAAUAUUUAUGUUAUUACUAAUAUUUUAAUUUUUAUGAAAAUUAUUAUCAUUAUAAUUAUUAGAUACAAAUAUAUUUAUAAAAUUAUUGUUGUUAAUUUAGUGUUUCAAUUAAAUUAUUAUUAGAAAAUUUUAUUGUAUCUAUUUUUAUUGAUUUAUGAAAAUUAUAAUUAUUAUUAUUAAAAAUUUAUAUAUAUUAUCGUAUUUGAAAUUUUCAUUAUUAUGGUUAUUAUUAUUAUUUUAGUUUUUAAAUAAAUUUAGAAGUAUUUAAAGUGUGGGAAAAAUUCGAUCCAAGACUCUAGCAAAAAUUAUUAUUUUUGCUUCUUUAGGGGGUUCUGGGCAUUAAGGUUUAUUCAUAAGUUGGGCUAAAAUUGGACAUAAGGAGGAGUCUGGCCUAGUGGUUAGGCGUGUUAAGCAGUAGGAAGGGAGCAGGGGUUCGAUUCCCUGCGUGCGCAAAUGUGGGUUUUUAAUUUUGAAAAACUAAGGGCUGUUGCAGGUAGGCCUUAUUAAUUUUUCAGGCUAACUCAUGUCAGAAGCAAGCAUCUGGCCUAGUGGCUAAGUAUCCUAGGAGGGCGGAGGAGGUGCCUGAGUUCAAGUCGUGAUGCGCGCGAGACAUUUGGUUUUUAUUUUUAAAGUAAACGGGUUGUGAUAAAAUAAGGUUUAAGAGAAGUCCCAAGCAGAGCCUAAAACAACAAGCGCCUUCGGCGCAAUGGCAGCAGCGCGUUAAAGGGACUGAGAGGGCACGAGUUCGAAUCUAGGUGCUGGCGUUGUUUUGGUUUGUUUUUAGGCGGACCAAGACUUCAGCAGGUAAGGUUUAAUAAUUACUGCGACGCUAUUAUAUCAAGAACAAGGUAGCGUCCCAGUGGAUAGCAGCAUGCGUGGGAGCCUGGAGGUCCCGCGUUCGAGCUUUCUUACGCGUAGAUAAACUGCUAUUUUGCUAUACGUGGGGAAGGUAUUUGAACUGGACCGAAACACCUAGACCUUGAUUGGAAUUUGAAUUAAGUAGGUUACUGUACGGGAAAAGAAUUUGGGUGUAAUUCAAAUUAAAAUUUUGGCAAAAAUUAAGAAGGAAUUUUAAUGGAAUUCAAAUUGGAAGGAGGUGGAGUAAGUAUUUAAGUCAACUAUGGGGUGUUAGUUGGGAAGUUUUUCGGCUAGUCUCUUGGAUUUGAGUAAAUUAGCCAUUGUUGAUUUUUGUUCCCUUUGAUUGUUUUUUUUUCUUUAGUAUAUAUUUGGGGUAUUUUAGAAUAUUUCCUUUGGGUUUUGAUAUUUUCUUUUCUUCCAUUCUCUUUCCUUCUUCUUUUGUUUUCUUUUUCUCUCCAUCUACUUUCUCCUCUUCUUUUUCUUUUUUCCUCUAUAGUCGAAUCUUCCUAUCAUCCUGUACAUCUCCAUCUUUUAUCAGUCGUUUCUAAACCUUCAUAACCAUUUGUCAUAAAAAGCCAAAAUCCCGAAAGCCUAUAUUUUCUUCUAUGCCGAUUUUUCCUAGCCAAAUCUUUUUACUUCUCUUCAUCAUUCUUGACCGAUACUCUAGUCCUCUAAACCCCAAGUUUCUGUCAACAAAGCCAUUACAAAAUCCUCAUCUUUUAUUCAUUGUUACAAAAAGCCGAAAACGCAUAGCCAUAGGAACAUAGCCGAAUUUUAAGAUCACUGAAGGCUCGACUUUUGUUAUCAUUUGAGGGCUUAGAACUGCAUCAGAAUCGAGUAGGAAUUAAGGGGAAUCGUUGAUUGAAGGAAUCGGUGGUAAGUCUUUCCAACCUAGUCUUUAUUUCGUACUUUAGAAAAAGCUGAAACCCCUAAAGGUUAGGGAGGCUGUCGAUUUGGGUUUAUAGCCCUAAGGUUGUGAUAAUUACUUUAUUUUGAUAAUAGUGUGAUCUAGAGGCUAUUGAUCAAGGGCUUGGACAAGUGGAACAACUGGAUCUAAACCUAGUCGCUAACUUUGGCAAAGGUAGGAUCGCUAGUGCCUAAGGUGUUAUUAGCCGAAUAUGGUAAGGAGUUAAUAUGUAGUUCGUUUUCGAUAGUUAGAUUAACGUGGUAGUAAUACAAUUGUAGGUAGUUUGUGCGUGGAUCUCGUCAACGAAUCGUCAUAAAACAUGUGUGUAAAUGACACCCACUCAUAGACUAGAUCAGUAAAAGCCGAAAAGCCAAAAAGUCGAAAAGCCAAAAAGCCUGCAUUUGUGAACUUGGAAGCGUGCGAGCGCUCGUGAGGUGGUUUGGUUGUUAAUUUUGGUAAUCGCAAGCAGUAUGAUUGCAGAGUGCGCAAUUUCGUGCACUUCGGUAUAUUUGGGCUUAAUGGGCCGAAAAUGGGUUAGUGGGCCAACGGGCCCAAUUCGGUAAUAACCCUCGGUAAGUGAUUCUGUUAGUACGUGAAAGGUAGGAAUAUGCAUGAAAAACCCUAAAAUAGAUAAAUUACUAAAAUACCUUUAAAAGUGGAAAUUUUACAAUUUUACCCAUUGGUGCAAAAUGACCGUUAUAGCCCUAGGGUUAAUUUUGACUAAAAUGCAUGAUAUUCUGAUUAUGUUUGUUGUAUGCCAUGACAUGUAUAUCUGUUGCAUGGGGUUGGGUUUUGUUAUGGAGGAAGAACCCGUUGUGGUGGCUGUGCCACAUAUUCUGAUAUAAGCAGCUUUGCUGCGGAUUAUAGUUAGUGCCGCAAUCGGUGCUAACACUGUAAGUGUAGGGAUGGUGUGGGUGAUUUAUUCCCCACAGGAAGUAUAGGGAUGGACGGAGGCAAGUGAAGGGUUGGAUGGGGUUAUCAUGCGUUAAUCAUAUGAGACUGUAUUGAAAUGGGCCCAACUGUGCUGAUAUGGGCAAGGCCUAAUAUAUCUCGACUUGUAUAGGGCUACGGCCUAGAUUGAUACUGAUAUGGGCUAGGCCCAGUAUACUCUGUUACUGUAAGGGGCUAUAGCCCAGAUUAAUAUUGAUAUGGGCUAAGGCCCAGUUAACACUAAAUUCUGAAUAGGGCUUUGGCCCAGUAAAGCUUGAACUGAUUUGGGCUCUGGUGGGGAUACUUUACACACUGAGUUUUCCAAACUCACCCCCUUUUUCCCAUCUUUGCAGGUGAGCCUUAGAUCGAUGGACUUGGAGCUGGACGGGAUUCAGAGUGGCCACGAAGAUUAAGUUUUGUUUUCUUUAAAAUAAGUUUCGCAUUUAUUAUUUUGAUUAUUUUUAUUCUGGUUAAAGUUGUAAUAAGGCCGCUCUUUUUAUUAUUUUUAAUAUUUUGGGUUAUUAAAUUGGUUAGCUUUAGGGCGCGUUUUAUAAAAGUUACUUAUUUUUAAAAUAUCACGAUAACCGAGCAAAGCUUUCGCAACGUAAAUAUUUUCAAAGGAAAUAAAUAUUUUAAAUAGACUUAAACUUAAUUUGUUGUUCGUGGACAAGUAAUAAGCUUAAAGUGUGGCAAUAGAUGUGUGCAUGUCUACGAUUGGAUCAUGGAAGAGCUAGGUACUUAAGCAGUCUAAUUGAAUCACCUCCUCUUUUCUUGAAUCCUACCUGGUGCGUAGUAUCCAUUCACUUUAAGCCAUGACAAAGAAGGUUUGAUUUUUUCGAUACUUAACUAUUUUUUUAAAAUAACAUGUUUCUGCCACUACAAAGGUUUACAAGUUUUCAAAGUUUCCCAUAAGAUUUUACAAGGUUGUUAACAAUGCUUUGAUUAUUACAAUGAAUUACGUUUUGGAAAAAAAUAAGGCUAAGGUUUUAUUCAAGUUUAAACGGUAAAAGUUUCUAAACAUCAAGAAAGGUUUUCAAUGAAAACAUGGUUUUCAAAAAACACUUCAAUGUGACACGCCGGAUUCGGUCGUAACGUCUGGGCCGGGUUUGGGGUGUUACAAGCAAUGUAUGAGUAGCUUAUCUUCGUUCACAUAACCGGUCAUCUUCCGGCAGAACAUGAUGAGAUGCGCUUUUGGGCAUCUUGUCCCAUCGUACUUUUCAAAAUUAGGCACCUUGAACUUCGGAGGCAGAACUAGAUCGGGUACCAAACUGAGUUCUUUUGCACCUAGUGCAGAGAAGACUUCAGUUCCUUCUAUUGCUUUGAGUCUUUCCUCUAGGCUCCUAUAUUGCUCAUUUGCAUCGUGAUUAUCCGAUUUCAACUUGGCUAUCUCUACUGGAUCGUCCAAAUCUGGAAUGAGUGGAUCAGCAAGACUAGCCCCCGGGUUUGAUACGAACAUUCCUUGCCCAGAUUAGCAAGUGGCGCAGGUUGUUACUCCAGGACUGUAGAUUCCCAUGGAGCGUACCCUCUUUGUGUUGCGUGGACGUGCGGUGGAGUAAAUCCUGGCGGAUAGGGCGGAUCCUGAUCGUGAUUAACCCUUGACUGUGGUUCCACAACGUCAGGGUUCAUAGGUCCCUUUCCUUUUACUAGAGCUGACAUCAUUUCCAUUUGGUCUCUUUGUUCAAGUGAUUCUUCUCGAGAUCUCACCAUUAAGUCUCUUGUCUCUUGCUGCGAUUUGGCCAACUGCUCUUGUAAUUCCCUUUGAAUUCUUUCCAUCAUUUCAAUCCUUUUAUUAAAUUCGGCCUCCAUUACUCUAGCUUGUCGGCGCGUUCUAUACGAAUGACGUGGUUCCAGUCUUGUGGUAUUACAACUGUGAAUUGUAUGUUUUAACCUCAGCGAACGAUUCUGGGAUAUGCAAUGAAUGAAUGAAAGAAUGCAUAAAUGUCAAAUGAAUGUUAGUCAUGAAAGAAAUGCAAGAAGUUGGUGUUGAUUUCAAGAUAGCCCUUAUUUAGGCAUUUCAUUCAUCAAAAGAGUUCAUUACAAAACAUUUUUCCAUUUUUGAUUCAGCUAUUACACAAACUUUCUAGCUAUAUCGCCAUAUUUCUUUACUCGUGCUAAGAAUUCUGAUAUGUUCGAUCUUCGACUUGGAGGGAAUUGGCAAAUGAGAAUUUCAGCUUCUUCCGAUAGUUGUACCACGUGCAUGGCUACCCCACGAAUUUCAUUUAUCAAAAAGCUAAGCUGUAUUUCUUUUUCUUGGAGGCCCUUUUUGUAAGCACGAAUAUCUCUAUCAUAUUGACAAUUCUUUUCUUCCAAAGCCUUCAAGAGAGUAUCUAGCUGUUGUUGACGAUCUUGCAGCAUAUCUUCUAACUCUCGUAUCCUCUCUUUUAGUUCUUGACAUUUAGAUCGGCUAGUUAUUACCUUGGCAGACACAGCUUCAUAUUCGACGUUCUUCUUCCUUAGCUUCAUCAUAGCCCACGCAGCCUUUUCUUCUUCUUUCUUCGAUUUUCCUUUCCAGAAUUCCAUCCCACCUUUGAUGUUGCUUAUUUCUUCUUUCCAUUCUGCCGACGACUUGCCCAGCCCACUAUUCUUUAUUAUGCUUCUUAACUUCUUAUUUUCUAGAUGAAGAUCUCUUAAGUCAUUUCUUACGACUUCAGCCUCUUUUUGCACUUUAUCGGUUCUGGAUCUUUCAAUCUGAACGUCGAUCUUCAAUUGGUAGUUUUCCUCUUGAAGAGCACUAAGGUCCCGAGACAUCUUGGCCUUUUCUCAUUCAAAUUCUUGUCUUGCAAUUUCUAGCUCAGAUGGCACUUCUUUAGAGAAAAGAUUCUGGACGGUGUAAUUUUUCGACAAGACGUACUGACUAUUCACCCUUUGCUUUCUCCAUAUAUCGUAAUCUUGGUGAGGGUGUCAGCAUAUAGAGCUAAUUCCAUGAGAUAAAUUCUCUUCUAAGACUUUGUGGUUUCUCGGACCCUCUUCAUAUAUCCCUCGCCCGCAAAAGCAAACUCAGACUGUGCUAAUCCUCUAGUGGUGGGUAUGAAUUGUCGCGAAGAAAAUUACCUUUGGACUAAUAGCGGGGCAUAUCCAACUCCUCCCCAUAACCCGAGUAGUGGUACCCAAUCUUGAUUUCCAACCUUGUAUAAUAGAACCGAAGGGCGGAUCCAUUGUGCUCUCCAAAUUACAUCUUCAGCUCGAAGGUUCUGAAAAACUGAAACCCAAUGUUCUUCGGUGACAUGCUUUGGCCAUUCUCUCUCAAGAUAGGCUUCUAACGGGGCGAAAUUUUUUGAAAACAUGUGGUACAGUGUGCGCUCUACUUUUCAGAAAUGGCUCAAAAUCCAAACAUUUAGUAACUGCGCGCAUCCGAUAAAGUGUCCUUUCCCUAUUUUCCUGCAAUUGUUUAAGGAUCUGAAGGUCUCGGCCAAGAUAGUCGGGACAGGGUUGAUUCCUUUUUUUAAUCUUUCGAAAAAAUCCAACACUGCAACUUCUAUGUGUCCAAGGACUUUCGGGAAGAUGAUCAAACCGUUAAUGGCCAAAGUAAAUAGAUUCACUCUUUUCAACUUGUCGGGAUGGUUCAGAACCAAAUCUCGUAGGGAAGACCAUGGGAUGCAAAUGGUUUCAUUCUUCUUCUUUAUCUGUUUUUCAGCUCAUGCGUCAGUCAUGUCUGUCAAUCUUAAUAACUUUUUCUUGAAGGUCAUCGGUUUAGGCUCCUUCACAUAUACUUUAUAGAAUUGCGCAUUUUCAACGCGAAGUAAAGCAACGUACUCCUCUCUAGUCGGAGUCAUAUCUUCUUGAUUGAAGGUAAAACAUUGGUAAGCCGGAUCCCAAAAUCUGACCAUGGCUUGGAUCAAUCGUUCGUCUACGUUGGCAGUAAUCAAGUUGGCUAUGUCUUCAUAUCUCUCGGUGAAGAUACCCCUAGUGUCCGAGUCCCACUGAUUCCAAACCCGAACCAAAUCUUCAAGGUUAUUCUGGUGAACAUUCACAGUUACGUGCUUGGGUAGAUUGGAAAUACAUCCUUCCACUAGACUAUCCCCUUUUUCUUUCUGAGUUUUUAGAGACCAGUCUCGAACCACGGCAUUAUUCUCGGUUGUUUGUAUAAUUAACUCUUCCAUUAGAAACUCGUUUGUUGGCAACCAAAUCUCUAGUCAACACCUUCCUAAUAUGAUGCCUAUAAUGCAUGAUGUAAAAUAAAAAUAAAGACAAACAACCUUAGUUAGUAAUCACAACAAAUAUAAAUUACGGAAAAUCAAAAUAGAAAGUGUACAUGUUAAAGAAAGAAAAGGUAAGAGGCGUUUCUCCCAUGUACUUAUUUUUGUGACUAUUAAUGGACGAGGGUUCGGCAUGGCUCUAAUUAGGUGGCUCGUGCGGUUCACUAUAUGCGGUUUAGGUUCUAGAUAGGUACUCGAAUUGUCCGUACUGUCAUCUACCAAGAUUAGUACGAAGCCUCGGUCGUAGCCCAUCACAGGCUCACGAGUUUAAUUCGAGGGAUUACAUUUACUUAUGCCUAUCCGGAGGGACAAGUUAACUCACGAAAGCAUAAGUCGUAUGUAAUCCGAAAGUAUUCACUAGCCUGUGCGGAGGGACGAGUUAACUCACGAAGGCAUAGCGUUUACUUUCACUUAAACGGACUGAGUCCGGGUAUAGAGCUCAUGUUAUGCAAAGAUGCACAUGCACAGUGUGUGGGGAGAAACUCACAAACCUUUACGUUUUAUUAAAAACUAAACUACAAAAACUAAAAAAACUUAGAGCUAAAAAAAUCAACAAGAUAAAACAAGUUAGAAGAAUAUUUACAGCAUGAUACAAAUGCAUGAAUUUUUUUGAAAACAAAUUUUGAAGAUCACGACUAAAUAUUAAUUUGAACAAGGAAGUCCAAAAAUUUGACAACACGUGUUUAAUCCGACUCAACUCUCAAAAAUGGGUCCCCAGUGGAGUCGCCAGCUAUAGAGACGUAAAAAUUUUGGCUUUCAGUCGCUAAUUGUGACGAUUUAGUGAAAACUUGAAAACUGAAUUUUGAUUUUGAAAUAAAAAGGGGAGUCGCCACCGAUCCUUUUUAUAGGUGUGAUCGGACACCUAAUGAAUUUAUUUUUAAAACAAAAAGAAGGCCGAGUUCAGGUCUACGUCCAAAUCCAGAGAAAAAUUAGGGUUCGGGAGUCAAUUACGCGCGAGGAAGGUAUUAGCACCCUCGCGACGCCCAAAAUUGGUAUCUUAUAAAACACGUGUUGUCUUGAUUUUCAAAAAUACGAGUUCAAUGUAACAUUUAAUCGUGAUCCGAUUGAAAAGACGAGAAAUUUUAGUUUUUUUUUCAGUUUUUAGAAGGGUGUUCCGUCUUUAACAUGAGUCGACAAAUUUCAUCCAACAUAGCGAUGAAAUCUAUGGCUUAAUUUUAAAUCGGUACAUUGCCUUACUUAUUAAAAUUAAUUAGAAGACAAGAAUAAGAUUUUUGAACUAAUGCAAAGUAAAUUGAUAAAAAAUAAAUAAAUGACAGAACUAGAAAUAUAUUGAAGCAAAUAUAAGUGCGACAAACAUACUAAAAACAAUAAAGAUAUAUGCAAUAUUAAACGUAACACUAGAAUUAAACAUGAAAUGGAAACAAUGAAUACACAUAUAUAAUAAUGAUAUUAAGAAUAUGUACGUAGAAUAUAUAUAUGUAAAUAAUAAUAGUAUUAGAAAUAUGCUAUAUAAUAUUCGAAACAUAUACAUGAUAUGUAUAAAAAUACAACAUUUAGAAGGUAUAUAUAUACACAUAAUAUAUGAAAAUACGUAUACAAUACAAUGUUAAAACACUUAUAUAAUGUAUACAUACAUAAUUAUAAUGUUGAAAGAAAACAUAAUAAUAUUAAUAACAAUACUAAUAUAAAGAUAUACCUAUAUAUAUAUUAAAGAUACAUACAUGUAUUAUAAAAUAUAUGAAUAAUAUGAUAAAAAAAUACAUAUACGUAAUACAUAUAAUGAAAAUAAUAAUACAUAUAAUACACAUAGUAUAAGAAUAUAAGAGUGUUAAAAACAUUUACAUAAUAGUAUAAAAAACAUACAUAAUGCAAAGUUAAAAAUAAUAUAUGAAAUAUAUAUACAUAAUUUCUAUUAAAAGAAAAUACACAUAAUAUAUAUACGCAUGUAUAAAAAAUAAUAAUGAUAUUUUUAAAAAAAAUUAUCAACAAUGUUAUAUAAAAGUAUAUAUAUAUGAAUGUUAAAAUAUUUAUUGGAAUUAAAACUAAUACUAAUAGUAGUAAAACUAAUAAUAUAAUAUAAUAUAAAAAUAGGUAAUUAAUAACACUAUGAUAUGAAUACGCAUAUAUGCAUAAAAAAAAUACAUAUAAAUAUUAUUAAUAAAUGUGAUAAUAAUAAUAGUAUGUUAAUAACAACAAUAAUACUAUGGUAAAACAAUAAUAAUGCAUAAAAUAUAGAAUAAUGCGUGCAAAAUAAAUUUACAAUUAAUCAGGCUACAACAUAUAAAUAAAGAAAAUAAUCCAAACAAUAUAAUCAAUAUCAAUAAAUAAACACGAAUAAUAAAGAAAACUGUAAAAAGAAUCUAAAUAAAACUUAAUUGAAAUCGAUUCAAAAUAAGGGGGAUAAUUGAUAAAAAAACAAACUACUGGGAAUAAAAUAGGGACCCAGGCGAAUGCGUGGAAAACUAAGGAAGACCAAAUGGUUAAUAAACCCGUCCACUCAAAACGCACCGCUUGAUUAGGGACCAAAAUAAAACAGUAAGGAAUUUCAGGGGGAAAUUAAAAGAAAUAAAAGUAAAAGGGGACCACAUUAAAACCAUCCUCAAAGGCAGAGGGACUGAGGGCUCAAAUAGCCCCUCAGUCCAAAAACACGCGGAUCCUAGGCGGUUUUCGGGUCGGGGUUCGAGUCAGGCGAUCGAACGACGCCGUUUUGGUCCUUAAGUAUUUGCCCCAAAACGACGCCGUACAAAGGGACUAUAAAAACAAUUUUUUUCUGAAAAAUUCAUCAUUUCAUCAGUGCAGAAGAAAAAAGAAAAGAAAAGAGGGGUGAGACCCUUCGGCCUUGGGCGAUUUCCGGUCGCCGGAUUGAUGCCCGUCCGUUGCCUGCGUCCGCCCUGCACGGCACUCGGAGGUGCAAAAACCUCCAAAUCUGCUCCCCUCGUUUCCCUCACUCUAUAUUCGAGUUUCAAGCAAGCCAAAGGAGGCCUAGGAGACCGGAUCGAGCCAUUGGAACCAACCGGUUCUGACUUCUCCGAUCUUCAAGACGGUAACAAAAUCCUUUCCUCCUUUUUUGAAUAUGAGUGUAUUUGUGUGUGUAUAUGUGUUGAAUCGACUGGAAGAUAAAAUGCUAGACUAAUCGGUAUGAAGAAACAACCUUUUCUCCUCUUGAAAAUCUUUAAUUUUUGCUAUUUUAUUUCUUUCUCAUAUGUGUUUUUCUCGUUUCUCUUUUUUUUUUUACAAUAUUUUCCAUUUGGCUUAUAUAUUCCAUCUGCUAUACUGUCCGUUUCCUUUUUGUUGCUGUUGCGUGUCCUUUUUGUUCUGCAGGUGGAGCAGGUGGUGGAUGCGGCAGAUGGCAUGGGGUGCUGCGGCGCUGAGGUGACCUUGGCGACAGGGUAAGUGGCUAGGGUUUGUUCUUCAUUUGGGCUGCUUGGGGUUAGUUUGGGCUUAGGUUAAUACUGGGCUUAGAGUCUGGGUUAGAGUGUUGUAAACGGGCUUGGGUUUUAUGUUGGGUUAGUUUUUUUAAUUGGGUUUUGGUUUAAUAAUUGGGCCUCUCAGGUUUGGGUUUGAAAGUGGGUUAAGGGGUUUGGGUUUGAAAGUGGGUUAAGGGGUUUGGGUAAUGUAUUGAGUUUUGGUUUAAUGUAAAUGUAACUGGGCUGGGUAGUUUAAAACGGCCCAAAAUUGGCCUAUAACAAAUACGACAAUUGUCACACCCCAUACUCGGCCUAGGCUGUAUGGUCGAAUUAUAGAGAUUACAUCGCAUAAGAAAAAGCAACAAAUGUUUAAUUUUGAUGGAAUCCGUUUUCAGCGGAAAGAAAAUUCAAUUUGUUCAACUCUUUGUAAAACAUAGCAAUUUCCGAAAUCACAUCUUAAAAGUAUUACUAAAUUCAAAACAAAUUUAUUUGAAAACAUUUGCAAACUAAAACAUUUAGAGAAUUUCAAUUGGUCUUGCAGUGGAAAAACCAUAUAGCGUAUUGUUUAUAAAAUCGUGGUUUAUUAUCUUUAGUUAUCUGAAGUGUCAGUUAAAAGAUUAUGGCUUUUGCAUAAUAAAUACUAGAAUAAUCCCAACGACCUAAACAAACAUAAAAUGCCAAAAAAAAAAAAAAAAUUUCCAAGAAAGAACCAAAAUGCCCAUAUUAAAUAAAAAUAUAGUCCAUAGCACUUAAUUCAAAAACGUGAAACCCGAGCUCUAAAGUCGCCGUCCAAUCCUAAAUUAGAAGGUCACUUAAAACAAAUCAAGCAAAAAUAUGAGCGAGCCUAGUGUGUGAUUAAGCCUAGAAUGACAGUUUAAGAAUUAAUAAUCAACAGAUUGUUUCAUAGCAUAUUUUAAUUCAAUCGAAGCAUAUUUAGCCAUAUCAUAUCGUGUCACACACCGAAACCUGGUUUAGAAAUUUUGACUGAAUUUUGAAGGUGACAUUGACCAUCACAGUGGCUUUCAAAAUAAAUGACAUACGAUUUCAUAAAACUCAUUAAAAAUCCAUCAUUGCGCGUUUUAAAAAAAAAAUCGAUAAUACCUCCAUUAGAUUUUUCAAACAUAAUUUUCAAUAGUCGCUUAAUUUAAUUAAAACCUGUUUAUCGAAUUAUGCACCAGUACUAAAGUGCCAGAUCAAAUCCAGAAGUAAACCGUAAAUUUAAGACUUAAGUAGUUACCAGAUAGACACAAUCAUCUAGAUUAACCAAAGCCAUGAUUGAAAACAUUAAAUUAAAUCAAAUCCAAAAAUCAUACUACAGUUCACUUAACAUUUAUUUUCAAAAUCAAUAAGACAUAAUUUACAAAUUCAUAAUUAAGUUAUUAAAGAUCAAACUGAAAAUGGAAAACCUUCGAGACUUUCGAUUUGUUGAGUCCGAGAUCUAGCUAUUUGAAUUACUUGAGAAAGAGAAAUAAGGGGAGUGAGCUACACAAGUUCAGUGUGAGUCCAAAACAAAAUUAAAUGACAAAUGAUGAACUAAUCAAAUAUACAAAAAAGUAUUUACUGACAACAUACGAAAAUCUUGAACCUAUAGUCAAAUGAAUGCAACAAGUAAAAUCCCACCCAACCAUCCUACACCCCUCAAUUAGGCUAUGGUAGGUUUAUCCACCCUGCACACCACAAAGGGCUAUGGUAAACUCAUUCACCCUACACACCACGAUAGUGGAUUUAAGCCACCCAAAUAGAAAUAUGCAACUGAGUUGUCAUAUAUAUUGCGGACAUACUGCUAUCAAAAUAAUUUGCAGUUUGGCUACCAAAAUAGAUUUCCUUCUCUUCACAACCAAAACCCAAGAUUUUUAUGCAAAUGAAAAUAUGCACACAAUAUGCAAACGGACAUACAAAAACAAGAAUACACAUUCGGUUGAACAGAUUCAAAAUCAGAAAUACUUGUAUUCAGUUAUAACGUAGCAGACAAACUAAUCACAAUGUCACAAUUAUCACAUCCUAAACUCAUACUAAAGUCAAAACUAAUUUACCAUACCAUAAACAUGUUUAUACAAUAACAAAAUUAAAUCUAAUGAAUGCCUACUCAUAAUCAAAUUUAAACCAAAUUAAUGACCCAUACAAUCUUACAAAAUUUAAACAUAUAAGGAUACACGGAAUCGAUCAGGGACCGAAACAAGACAUUUUGCAAAAAGGUUGCAAAAUUUACAAAAUAGAACCACACAGCCGUUUGGGAGGGUCUAGACUGUGUGAAUGGAAGACAGCCCGUGUGACAGACACAUACAGCCGUGUGGCUGAAACACGCGCUCGUGCAACUGAGACACACAGCCGUGUGAGCAGAACAUGUAACUCACUAUGCUCUUGUAACUAAAAUUACACAUUUCUAAGGAGCAAAGCAGACACGACCGUGUAAUUAAAUGACACGCUCAUGUGAUAGUGAUACACGACCGUGUGGUUGAGACACAAGCUUGUGUACAAUCGACAAAAAAAUUCCCUAACAUAGAGGUCACACGGCCGUGUGGACUGCCAUGUGUGGCACACGCUCAUGUGGCCGCCGGUGUGGUUCGUAAACCACCCCAUAAUAGACUAAAAAUUGUGAAACACCUCAAAAAACUGACCCUUAAUUAAAGCUGUUCAAAAACACACCUGAUUUCGUGAUUCAAAGCACCAAAAUCAACCGAUUCGCCUCCAUUCUACCGAUCUGAAAACUCAAUUACUAUUACUCAUAAAAUAUUUACAAAACCUCGAUCAAACAGUAUUAAAUUAUCAAAGAAAACCAAAUUAUAUGUAUGUUAUAUAUGUAUCCAUUUAAUGUAUAUGCAUUGUAUUCCAUAUUACGCAUAUACAUAUUAACAUUAUACCAUGUAUAUAUUUUUAUAAAUAUUAUAUGUAUAUAUAUAUUUUUAAUAUAUUAUGUAUAUUGUGUACAUACUUUUAAUAUUAUCAUGUAUUCAUUUUAAUAUAUAUGUAUAUAUCUAUGUAAUAUCAUUAAUAUUUAUUUUUUAAACAUUAUUAUUAUUUUUAGCAUGUAUAUACUAUGUAAAUAUUUCAAAUAUUGCAUUUUUAUUACGUAUAUAUAUUUUAAUGCGGAUACAUUUUUUAUAUAUUACGUGUAUAUAUCUUUUAAUAUUGUAUUUUAAUUGUUAUACAUAUACCUUAAUAUUAUAUCAUUUAUAUAUUUUUAUUUCUCAUAUUAUCUUAUGUUUAUGUUUUUUAACUAUAUCAUGUAUAUACUACUACCAUAUAUCUAUUUAUAUAGUUAUAAAUAGUUGUUUUUAAUAUUAUGAUUGUUUCUAAUAUGUACGUAUUAUGUAUUUACCUCUAAUACUAUAUACUAUAUUGUUACUAUUAUCAUUACCAUAUUUAUUAUCAUUAUUAUUAUUAUUAUUUUUAUAUUUACUUAUUUUCUCAUUACUUAGUUAUUUGUGUUUCUUAUUCAUUCAUAUUUUCACUAUUAUUAUGCUCUAGGCAUUAUGUUUAUUCGUCUGUUCAUAUGUAUCUCAAUAUAUCUGCAAAUUUACAUUAUUCGUCAUUAUUAUUGUUUAUGCCAUCAUCUUUGUUAUUAUUAUUAUGCAUGUUAGUGCUGUAAUUUGUUUCUCAUUUCAUCAUGUGAUUACGAUUACGUUGGUCCUUUACUCGACGCAUAUAAUUGUGUUUUCUAAAAUAAGACAAGUUUCGGAUUUAGACAAUUCGAGAAAAUUGUGCCCUAAUUUACUGGAUUUCGGUUUUUCUCGUUUAAUCUAAGUAACAACAUAAUCCUAUAAAUCACAUUAUGUUUUUUUACUCGAUGCCUUAAAAUAAUCCUUUCAUAAAAGUGAUAUUCCGUAUUUGGUAAUUCGAGACGAUCGUGCCCUAACUUACUGGGUUUCGAUUUCUCUCGUUUACUUUAAAUAAUUGAAUCCCCUUUUAACAAAUUAAAAUACGCAAAUUUUAUAAAAGGCAAGCUCGCUCUCGAAAAUUCAAGAUGUCGUGUCCUAACUCACUGGAUGUGACAUUUUAUAUUUUGAGACGAGAAGGUCUUUAACACUAGAGCAUUUUCAUAAAGAAGGAUCGUAUUUCAAAAGUCUUCAAAGUUUUCAAUCUUCGAUCUUAAGACAUUAAUUAAUCAGCUAGGUACCAAUUUUGGGCGUAUCGAGGGUGCUAAUCCUUCCUCGUGCGUAACUGACUACCGAACCUAUUUUCUUGAUUUGCGUGGACCAAAGUCAUUUUUUUAUAAAUCAAACCAUUUACUAAAAACAACCACUUUUACGAGGUGGCCCGAUCACACCUCAUCAAAAAAGAUUGGUGGCGACUCCCCUUUUUUUAGUUUUCAAAUCCAAGUCGAUUCCUGUUUUCGUUCUUCAAAAAAAUGGUUACGACAGAGGUUACAUCGUACAAGUAAAAGAAACAAACGUUUAAUUUUAUUGAAAACGAGUUUCAGAAGAAAUAAAAAUACUUUUCUGAAACCACAACUUAUAUCAUUUUAUUAAAAUCAAAACCAAAACCAAUUCAUUGGUACAUUUGUGAGAUGAAUCACUUAGAAAACUUCAAGUAGACUUGCAACAGAAAAUUGUACCGCAUAUUGUUUGAAAAAUCAUAAUUCUUUUUCUUUUAGUUCUCUUAAGUUCAUUAAAAAGGAAAAGAAUUUUUCAUAAUAAAAACUAGAAUGAUCCUAAAGAUUUAAACAAAUUAUAAAAUAUCCAAAAAUAACCAAAACUCAAGAAAAGUCCAGAAUGUCCAAAAUAACAAGAAAAACCAGUGAAAUCCAUAGUACUAAACCAAAAUAAAAUGUGACCCGAUGUCCAGAGUUGCCAUCCUAUCCUAAGUCGGAGGAUCACCUGAAACAAAGCAACAAAGGCGUGAACUUAAAGCCCAGUGUGAGAUUUGGCCUAUAAUUUCAGUACAAACAUACAUAUGUAUCAGAAUGUCUCGUAUUAUUUCAUAUCAUAUCAAAAUUUAUACGAAUAUCUUAACGUAUCAUAUCAUAUUGAAUCUUAGCAUAUCAUGUUAUAUCGAAUCAUAACAUAGCAUAUUUUAUCAUAUCAUAUUAUGUCUUACCCCCAUCCGCUACACACCAUCUUUGUCCAGCUAAUCACACCAUAUAAGACUACAAGAAUUCAUCCAUCCAAUCACACUAAUUUGUAGCAGUGUGUCACUCAUAUAUUUGUAGUUGAGCUGUCAUACACAAAUUUGAGGUUUGCCGCCAUAAUUGCAGUAUAAACUAUCAUAUAGCACUUCUUCCAUCAUAUCAUAACCCACCCCAAAACACAAAUAAAUCAUAAUCAUAUAGCAUACAUACUACAUAUUUCAUAGAAAUCAUAAGAUAACACAUAAUUUAAUGGUAACAUUUCUAACUUAACAUAACUCUUAAGCUUAUCCAAAUACUUUUAUGUACUGAAACUUAGACCUUUCCGACCUCAUACGAAGCCUAUGGACCUAAAUUUCGAAUCCCUCAAAUAACCCCUAAUCGAGCCUUAAAAUUAGAAAAAAAGGCUCACACGUCCCAAAAACCUAGGUCGUGUGGUCCACACGGUCUACAAAGUUUCACAUAGCCGUGUGCCACACACGACCUGGCCACAUGGUCUACAAAGUUUCGCAAGGUCAUAUGCCACACGAUAAACAACACAACUUAUAACACUGUCAUGUGGCAUUGGGCAAUUUAAAAAACAACCCCUGUUUCAUGAUUUUUCGAGUUUCUAUCAAGUUUAAGGGUCAUUUACACACACAUGAUUGUGUAAACGAUCAACCAUGCAAUUGGGAACCCACGAACCCUACAAGGAAUCAUUAAAAACGAAUUGAACAUCAACAAAAUCCUAAAAUUAUCCCCCCCAAAACCCCUUUUUUCCAUAUAAAACGAUCCCCAAAAACGAGUUUGAAUACUCACUCGUCACCAACAGCGUACGAAUAUUGCAAUUACCCCACUGGAGGUUCUUGAUUCACUACUCCCUCGCCUAAGAAGAAAACUGAGUAAACACUUACUAAUAUAUAAAGAGCGAAAUUACCCAUUAGGGUUCAUUCCUAACAAGAACAGUCAAUAAACAAAGAAUGUGAAAAAUAUCUAUGAACUUACACCAACAAUUGCCUUACGAACAAACAAAGACUUAACCCAAAAUCCACACGUAACCUGAAACAACAAUUGAAGAAAAGUAGUCUUCCAAAACAAAGAAGUAAAAGAAGACAAAAGAAAAUCAAAGAAGGAAGAACAAAGGCACAAAAAAGGGUUAGGAAAAAAAGGUGAAAAGUAAUGGGAGAAGUGGGUACUGACGGUUGCAAAAGAUUUGGUGGAAUUAAAAUUAAAAUUAAUAAAUAAAAAAUAAAAAAUAAAAAUAAUAAAAACAAAUAAAACAAUAAGAUAUACUAAUUUGAUCCAAAUCUCAACUAUCAGAUUUUAAUAAAAUUUAAACAGGAUUCUAAUAUCCAACAAAGGCCCAAACAAAAAUUUAUUCCAAAAUUUAUAUAUAACAAGACUCAAACACAAGACCAUAAAAAAACCAAACCUAAUAUUUAACCAUUAAAUCACUAGGCACAUUGUUAUAACAAUCCACCAAGGAAAUUAAUUUAAGCCAUAAUACCUAAGCCAAACCUAAAGCCCAAGAUUAAUAGGAAAAAUCCAGAACUUAAGAAUUGACCUUGGGCCUAAAACAUUCUCUUAAGGAACUUAACCAAUACACCAAAUCAAAUUAUUAUGUAAAUAAACACAUUCCAAAAAUUAGAUAUUUGGGGCAUUAUAGGUAGUGGUUUUGGAGGUAGAGCUGGAGGUGAAAAUGGACACCAUUGAUAUUACAAGCUUCACGAUACAUGCAUGGAUCAAAAUGCAAUAAUAUUUAUUAAUCCAAAAUGAGUCGCAUAUAUAUAUAUAAUGUUUUGCAUCUUCCUAUGCACUCUACCUACUUUAAUGUAUGACAACAAAAUAAAUAUUGUGAGUUUUGAAAUAUUAAAGAUGAGUAUGUUUCAUUUUAUCAUAAUUCGAAUUUGUUUAUUAUUUAUUUGUUAUAUUUAAUUAAAAAUUUAAAUUUAAACAUAUAUUAGCUUAUGGUACACUUAUAUUUGUGAAAAAUUUUAAUGUAUAUAUUUAUUUGUUAUAAAUAUUUUUUUUAUUAAAUGGACACCUAUCAAGAUUAAAAUAAAUUUGAUAUACAUUAAUACUAUAAUGUUUAUUAAAAAUAGAGUUUUAUAUUAGGUAUACUUCUUAUAUAAAUAUAGGACAUCUUAUCAAUGAAAAUACGUUCUCUUUUACUCUUUUAUUUUUGUUUCUUUAAUUCUCUUUAUUAUUUAUUUGAUAACAUGUUAUCAACAUGAUACUCGUUUUUCAUAAUUCCUUGAAUUCCCUUCUAAAAACACCUUAAUAACUAUAUUUGUUACUGUUUAAAAAGAAUGGACACUUUGGUAUUUAACUCAUAACAUCAACUCAAUAAAACUUUAAAUAUAAUAUAAAUUAAUUAUAACCGGAUAUUAUAUUUGAAUAUUUGAAUUUGUUACACAUUUAAAUAAAACAUAUUUGAUUAACAAAUUCAAUCUAUAGUAACUAAUCAAAACCCAACUCAAUUAGCAAGUAUUUAAAAUACUUAUCAAACAUCUAAAAUCUUGUAGGUUAAAAUAUUUUUAGUCUCUCUAUUUUUAUUUUUAGGAAUUUAGUUCUUUCAUUUUUCAUAUUUUUUGCAAAUAUUUUAAGGAAUAAUUUUGUCGUCACACUCUCUAAUCUGGUGAAUGUUUGGUUAUUCUGUCCACGGUUUUGAACCUUCCAAGACAGAUUCUCUUAUCAUGAUAUGUGCUUGCAAUCACCUCAUCUAUAUUAUAAUUGAGUUGUGACAAUGUUAGUUGUAAUGUUUUAUUCUUGUUGAGAUUGAAGCAAACAACAAAUAAUCAUGAUUUCUUUCAUUUCCUCAAACUGUAUAAUAAUAACAUUUAUGAAAUAAAAAAAAAAUCUUUAUAAAAUGAAAUGGAAGGAUAUUUUUCUGUUUUCACUUUUGCUUAGGGAUUAGUAACAUCCACAACCGAUCCCAAUUAAUAUAUUCUCUCUCAUUUUUAUCAUUGCAAUUAUUGAUCACAAUUCAUUUUCAGUUUUGCAGAUUCACGAAGGCAUAAAUCAUGAUGAAGUUUUUUUUUUUUUUUUAACGUUGAUAUGAUGGAUCUAAUUGUGUUGUAUAGAUAAUUUGUAUUAACUUUUUAACAUUUAAUUUAUCAUCUCAAAUUUCAUAUACAAUUGAAUUCAAAUAUAAUAUUAUUGAAUUUGCAGAAGAAGAAUUUUGCUUUCUACCGUGGGACACCCGAAUAAAUUUAUAUUAAUUUAUAAGAAUGGUUAAAUCUAUAUUUCGAAAACCGUGCAUUAAUUAAAAUUUAGUCUUUAAUAAUAGUCUUUGGCGACAGGACAGUUAGUUGAAAAGAUAUCACAUGCCCACAUUUAGCUACACUAGCUAGUUUCUUAGUGUAAGGUGUAUUUAUGGGUUUAUUUAUUUUAAAAUUUAUUUAAUUAAUAUAAAUAUCAUUUAAAAUACAUGAAAAAUUACCUUUAUUUUUUAAAUAAUAUUUUUUUUAUAAAUUAUAAAAUAAUUACAAUAUUUUAUAAUAAGAUAUUAGUUAUCAAGUCUUCAUUUAAUAAUUAAUUUAAUCUAACUUUUUUAUAUUUAUUACAUAUGAUUUUUUAUUUUUAUUAAUAUAAAUCCAAUACUCUAUUAUAUAAAAAAUUAAAAAUAUAAUUAAUAUGAUUUUAUCCAUUACCAUUUGGGGAUAUCAAUUAACCAUUACUAAUCUAAAUAUCAACAUGAUCUCAUAAUAUACAAAACCGACUCAAAACUUAGGCACAUGUUAUAUAUCAAAACGUCAAGGAAAUAUAAAAACUUAUUUGAGUCAAAAGUUGCGAUUUGGAUGUUGAAUCAAUCCUCGAGACUUCAAGAUUUCCUAAUAUCUGUGCACAAAAUAAACAAAUCAUAUGCUAAAUAAUAACGCUCAGUGCUACUUUCAUGAUUCAAGUCAAUGGCAUUAGCAUUAAUAUGAACUAAAUAAUUCAAUUCAUGAUUUAGUCAUAACCAUUUCAUUUCUACCUAUUCAUGUCAUAUGUUUAAAUUCAUGCAUUGUUACAAUUAGCAAAUCUAAAUCUUCAAUGAUAUACAUUACCAUUUCAAUUCAUAUAUUCAUAAUUCAUAUGCCAAUUGCAUAUACUAUCUCAAUGUAUACAUUUCAUGCUAUACUUUCUAACAACAAAAUACAAUCACUUUCAUUUGCAAUUUAUGUCAGUUUAAUUAAUCAUUCAUAUGCCAAUUUGAUACUCAACCUCAUUUUACUAUCUCGCUCUCUCUCGAGUCUCUUAACUCCUUCAUAUUCAAAUCAGCCCUCAGGGUUCGUUUUAAACCGGUUCGCAUGGUCUUUAACAAGCUAUCAAUAAUCUCAAAUUAUAUAUAUGUAUUUGUAAUAUCAUUUUGUGCCAUCAAAUCAUUUUAAAGAUCAUUUAAUCGACAUACAUUUUAUAGUCCGAUUUUAAAAUUCAAUUUAAUGUUUUGCCCAAUGCAAUCUUAGUAAACGGACCUGGACAUGCAGGUGAACUACGUGAGCAUAAACCACACCACUCUCAAGCACUGAAGUGCACAGCCCAUAAGUAACAAAUGCAUAUACAUAUGCAAAUACAUCCAUCCACCACACGAAGGUCUCCAAAGAGACAAUGAAUACUCGAUGAUCUGCAACACAUCAUAUCAUAAUCUCUACAUCGAUAGCAAACCCCUAAAGAAAUGUGCUGACCAUAUUGGCAUACCAAGUAUAUCCUAGCCUUUCGACGAAGUUUACAUGGGCAUCAACCAUUCUAUAUCAUAUUUUCAUUUCAUCAUCAAUUUAUAUAGCUUAUUAUUAAAUUAAUAUCAUCACAUAUUCAACAUCAUUGUUCCAUACAAUUUCUAUCAUCAAUUCAUAAUAAAAAGCAUUUAUCAAUUUAUAUAUUAUUUCUAUUUUAUUCAACUCAAUCCAAUUCUCAAUAUUCAAUUUCACCAAUCACGAAUCAAGUCAUAAGACAAUUAAUCAUCUUACCUCCAUAGUUAAUAUGCCACAAUCAUGCAUGUAUAUGUAUACAUACAUAAAUAUAUAUUACUCAAAUCAUAAAAGUAAGAAUCGAUAAUUCAACCACCUGUCAACGACUCUCGCCUUUCCUUUCUCUCGCGACGGUCCGAUAUCGUCUUUCGCUACAAUUGAUAAUUCAUUAAAUAAAAUAUUACCAGAUUUCAUUCAAUCCACAUCCAAAUACAAAGCCACACAUGUUUUACAUUUUAUUCAAUUUAGUCCUUAUACUCGGGAUUUGCAUAUUUUUCAAUAUUUAGCUUCGGAUCAAAACCCGAUUUUAUAUUCUAUUAUCAGGGAACCUAUAAUUAAUAUUCAUAGCACCAUCUCAUGAUAUGUUUUCAAUUUUAUUCAAUUCGGUCCCUAAUAUUACAAAGUUAACUGUAACACCCUAAACCCGGUCAAAAUGAUAUGACCAGAUAUUGGAGGUUACCUCGACCACAAGUGAUUUUUAAACAUAUACCACCUUAAUAAACAGGGUUUGAUUUUUCAAGGAAAUAAUUUAUUGAAACUCGAUUUUGUUACUUGUUUUCAACAACUUUCUAUCGCUUGAGUGGAAGCCCUCUAAAACAUUCAUUAUAAACGAACCAGUUGUUUUGAAAACCAUAUGAUCAUCUUGUUGUUCUUUUAAAAGACCGAUUUACUUUACUUUGAUUUGCAGCGAAAAAAACUCGUAAUUUAUCAAUUUUGAAAACAUUUGUACAUCUGAAUUAAUUAAUAGUGAAUACUUGCAGUUUAUUUAACUAUCUUACUAAAACCCAAUAAAAAUCCAAAAUCGAUGCAAAGUCCCAAAAAUUAUAAACAGUCCAAAAAUAACAAUUCAUGUUUUUUAAUUAAGAAUAAACCUUAAAAACCCAAUUUGAUUAUGAGAAUCUGACCAAGAGCUUCCAAACACCGCCCAAUCCUAGUCUUGAGGGUUACUUGAAAAGAUAAGGUAAUUGAGUGAGCUAGAGGCUCAGUGUGUGCCAUGGCCCCAAAACAAAAAAUAAUCACUUAAUGCACUGAUAACAUAUUAGAGUAGAAAUCCAGAUAUGGAGCAUGCUUAACAGUGCAACGUCAUACAUAAUAAUUCUACACCCAACCACUACACACCAUCUUCGUCUCACCCAACACACCAAUUAGGGUAAUUAUAUACCCAUCCAACCCAUAUACCAAACUAGUGGUCAUGUGCCAUUGUAUCACUAUGUACUCAAUCUGCCAUAUAUAAUGCGAAAAAUCACCAGAAUAGAUAAACAAAUUUUUUAAGGUAAACCGCCAGAAUUACAGAACAUAGUCUAUCAGAACUUCCUCCAUACCAUAUCCAUAACCCACCCCAAUGCAUAUGCAACAUCAUAACUCAUAUUCAGAUAUACUUGGAUUAAUUAUGCUCAAUUAUGAAUAUAAUAGAUCAGAAACAUGCUAAUGGUACUCACAUAUUUAUAGAUCAGACAUAAAAUUUACACGAGUUAGCAUGCUUUUAGAAAAUAUACAUACAACAACAAAUAUAACAUGUAAUAUUUAUUGGACAAAAAAUGUAACACUUAACAGAUUCAACAAUAUCACUGGCCUCGAACCAACGACCCAAAAUAUGGCCCUAACUAAACUUACUCAGAAUGCGCCCACAAGCCCUUACUUGAUGAACCCGUGUGGCCCACACAUCCAGACACACACCCAUGUGGCUAACACGGGCAGCCACAUGCCCAUGUGGGUCACACGGCUAGAUACACGCCUAUUGGCGUCAACUGUCAAUUUUGAUUUUGCACAACUUUAUGAGUUUUUGGGUUAGGGGCACACACCUGACUGUUCUUGGGACGUCAGCACUAUAGUGGCAGCCAAAAUCUGCAGACGACACCUAAAAAUUAACCAUUUAACAAGCAUUCUCAAAGAAUCGGCUUUUGCUCCCUAGAGCAUUCGACCAAAAUCAUUAGGGUGUUUGACCUUAGCAACCAAAAUCAGUCAUUAGCUGGGGCAUUUGACACUUACCCUUAGAAGCAAAGGUUUCCAACGCACUCAAAUUAUCGAGGGAAUGUGUGGCUCACGAUCCUCAUCUAAUAGCAUUACAAACAAUCAAUAACCAUGCUACAAAACCAACAAUCCCCACGUUAGAAAUCGAAGCAACCUUUUUAAAAAAAUGAGUGAUCAUAUUAUACUUACUUAAGAACAAAAUUAUGAUAUCACACUAAAGCUUCAAUUCACACACGACUAACACCAACACCCAAAGACAAGUGAUGGCACUGGGACAAAACAAAGUCUAGAUGACAACAAGACAGAAGAUAGGGAUGAUAAUGGAAGAAUAAAAAAGGGUGUUAAUCGUGUUGUAAUGGAACAAACGAGAAAUUAGAGGAAAGAGGAGAUAGGCAGAAGGAAAAAAAAUUCAAGAAAAAAAACUACAGCAACCUAAAGUGAAAGAAAGAGAAAUGAAGAGAAAAGAAAAUAGAACAUGGAAAAGAGAGGAAGAGGGGGACAACAAAAAGUGGAAUGGUCUCAACUGAUUGGGUCAAGUAUUGGGGAAAAUUUUAUAGCCAAGGGCACAUCUUAUUACUAAAUCUAGUGCAUCUUUUUGUAACAUAGACUAAUAGCACCUUUGCAAAGGACUUUUUGAGUGAGGGCUUUCAUCCUUAGAUGAUGACAGCAUAUCCCUUCAUUUACCUUCUUAAACAUGUAGCUAGCUUCUUCUAGGGAUAUGCGUUGUAAUAAGGACUUCAAAAAGAUUUUCUUAUUACAAGAAACCAUCUUUUAAAAUAUACCUUACGACAUGUUUGGUUCACUAGAAUGGAAUAUGAUUAUAAUGGAAUAGCCAUUCUGUGAGACUAAAUACGGCUGUAAUGGAAUUGAAUAGGCAUAACAGUGGUUCGGUUGGAUGGAAUGGAAUGAGUAUUGUAAUAGUAUUCAUAAGUUUGGUUUAGAGGAAUAGAUAUGUAAUAGAAAAAAUACUCGAACUAACGAAUAUUCUCUUCAAUAAAUUAAAUUAUGUUUUUAAUUUUGUACAAAUAUAAAAAAACCCAUUGUCUUCAACCUUGUUAUUUCUCUUCAACCCAUUGUCUAUGUAAAUUGUCACCCUUCUUUUUACACAAGUUAUCUUCUCUCUUCCUAAACUCAAAACCCACCAUAUUAUUUACUUUCCGCCAUACUUGCUUUUACCGACUACUGUGGUUUCCAUCAACAAUCACCAUGUCCUUACCUAGAAAAUACUUUGAUUUCUUCAUAUAUUUUUUCACCUCUAUUCCUCUUUCUCCUUUCCAGAAUUCUCACCCAAACCUUCUUUAACAUUUUUUGCUUUUGAAAUUUUGAUUACCAUAAACAAAAAUUGUCUUGAUUUUUCUCACUUUUAACUAAAUGCAUAAGUUGUAUAUAUUUUUCUUCAUACUUUGAUUUCUUCAUAUAUUUUUCUCACUUUAUUGCGUUUAGUUCGUUCUUUGGGUUUAGGUGGGAGUUCUCAAAUAAUUUUUCUUUAUAUCAUUUAUUUAAUGUUUAUAAAUAUUAAAUAUUAAAUAUGCACUAUUUAAAAAUAAAUACGUAAUGAAAAUAUAUUUCUACAAUAUAUGUAUAUUUUAAGAAAAUUUUUCAAGUCACCGACUCACCACGGCAUAUCUUGAAAAUAUAACUGACUCAUACCUCAAUAAGAUAAUUUUCUCCAAUCCAAGUACCUCUGAGUUUAUGGAGAUUUAUCAUUCAUGGGCUUGAUUGCCCAAAGUUUCACUCCUAAUUUAUUGUCCAACCAACACUCUUUUCAUGAGCCUUUAAUCUUUGUCAUGCAUUCAUUCAACUAACACUCUUUAUAGGUGAAUAUACCUAAAGGGUCAUUAGAUUUUAACUGAUUAAAUUAAUUCUUCUAUUAUUAAUUGAAUUAAUUUAAUCUUGGCACUAUUAAAAAUAAUCAAAUAAUGUCAAACUAGAAUAUAAUUAACAUUCCUUGUUUAAAAAAUAUCAUUUACUAUUUAACAUAGUUAAUACUUUUAAAUCUUCAAUUGUUCUGUAAAUGAAUUUUUUUUCUUUGAAAUUUAAUUGCAAUUGAAAAAAUAAUUUUCAAGACACAGUAAAUGUUAACUCUGUAACAAUUUAGACUUAUAUGAUUCUUUUUAACAGUAAAGAGACUAAAUUGAUCAAUUUAUAAGAGGAACUAAUUUGAUUUACUCCCUAUAAUACAGGGACUUUUCAAAUACUUUAACCCUAUUUUCAUCCUUGCCCUUUAAUCAAGGGACCCAAUAUACAUGUUCAAGGGUCAGGCUACUUGCCUAAGCCUGAAUGCUCUUUUGAAAUUUCUAAGGGUUUAGAUAAAAAUAUUAAGCUUAAAAAUUUCGUUUGGAUACAAAAUUAAACUCGUUUAAAAUAUGGGUUAAGCUCAUGCUCAAACAUACAAGGCUUGAACCCAACUCGUCUAUUAAGUUUGUGAUAUGUUAUAUCGUGUUAUUUUUAUAUAUUAUGUAUUUUAUAACAUAGACGAGUUGGGUUCAAACCUUGUAUGUUUGAGCACAAACUCAACCCAUAUUUUAAACGAAUUAAAUUUUUUAUUCUAACCAAUUUUUUAAAUAAAAUAUUUUUAUCCAAACCCUCCUAAAUUUCAAAAGGGCCUUUAAGUUUGGGCAAGUAGCUUGACCCUUAAACAGCUAUACUAGGUCCCUUGAUUAAAAGGCAAGGAUGAAAAGAGGGUUAAAGUACUUGAAAAGUUUCUGUAUUAUAUGGACUAGAUCAAAUUAGUCCCUCUACUAUUAAAUUGAUCAAUUUAGUCUCUUUAUUAUUAAAAGGAAUAAAAAAAGUCUAAAUUGUUACAGAGCUAACAUUUAUUGUAUAAAAGUGUCUUGAAAAUGAUUUUUUCAAUUGCAAUUAAAUUUCAAACCAAAAAUUUCAUUUACAAAACAAUAAAAAAUUUAAAAAUAUUAACUCUGUUAAAUAGUAAAUGAUAUUUUUUAAACAAUGAAUGUUAACUCUAAUCUUAGUUGGCCUUAUUUGAUUGUUUUUAAUAGUACAAAUACUAAAUUAAUCCUUUUAACAAUAAAGAAAUUAAUUUAGUCAUUUCAAAUCCCUAUAAUAGAAGGACUUUUUGAUAUAUUCGCCUAAAAAAGAGUGUUAGUUGGAUGAAUGGAUGGCAAAGACUCAUAAAAAGAGUGUUGGUUGGACAAUAAAUUAGGGGAGAAACUUUGGGCAAGUAAGCCCAAAGAGGUACUUUACUUAGAUUGGAUCCAAACCUGAUUAAGGCAUGGGUUAUAGCUAUAUUUUCAAGAUAUGGUGUGGUGAGCUGGUGGCUUAAACACGUUUAUUAAAAUAUACAAAUAUAUUUCAUUACGUAUUUAUUUUUAAAUAGAAAAGAUUUAACAUUUAAUAAUUAUAAACAUAAAAUAAAUUAAUAUAAUAAAAACUAAUUACAUAGAAAAAAACAUAUUUUAAAUGUGUAAAACUUUCUUUAUCAUAUUUAUAAAACAUUAUAUGGGUUGUUGAGUUUGGAGCCUAUAAUAAUGUUUAUUCACACUUGAACAUUUACGUUGAAUUCGAGUAUGUGUUAAACAUAUAAAUACAUUCAAAUUUUAAGAUUAUUUAGAUUGACAAACCCAUAUAUACUAUACAUAUUUCUCAAAAUAAAAAUAUUAUUGAACUUAUAUGCAUAUAUUAGCUAACAUGUAUAGUAUGCACGAAUAAGCUUUCACCACACUUACUGCUGGAUUGGGUGAAUUUGUAGAUAAUAUUUCUAGCUUUUAAUAAAUUAUUAAUGAAGUUUUUUGUUUUUUUUUUGUUUUUAAGUUAUUGUAAGUGGGGUUAAAUCACUAUUAUGACUUAGUGGGGUUAGUAGUUGAAAUGAAUUAAUGGGGUCUAAAUUGGCUUAUAAAAGCACUUGGGAUAUUAGAACUAUCAUGAACCAAGUUAAAACUCAAACAAAAUGGUGAGUGUUAUUAAAAGAGUUUUCUCGUUAUCUUUGCUUUGUUUUAAUGUGUUUUUAGUGAAUGCGAUUGUUAAAAAUGUGGUGAAUAUGAAAGAGGACGAAGAGAAGAAAUUAAUACAGGGAGAUGGCUUUCGAGCUUGGGACAAGGGUAGGUUCUAUUGGUGGGCAUGGUGUAGUUAGAGGUGGUAUUAGUGGAGUUUGAAAUGGGGAUGGAGCUGGUUUUGGUGGAACUGGAACUGAUGUAGUUGGAGGUGGUAUUGGUGGAGCUGGAAAUGGAGAUGUAGCUGGUUUUGAUCGUGGUGGAGUUGGAGAUGAUUUUGGUUUUGGAAUUGGUGGUGGUGGUGGUAGUAGUGGUGGUAGUGGAGGUGGAACUGGAACUGGAACUGGUGGUGCUGCUAGUGGAACUGGUAGUAGUACUGGAGCUGGUUAUGGUUUUGGAGCUGGUGGAGCUGGAGAAGUUGGUGGUGGUGGAACUGGAAUUAGUGGAGUUGGAACCGAAGGUGAAAAUGGCGAUGGUGAAAAUAGACACCAUUGAUAUUACAAGCUUCACGAUGUAUGCAUGCAUGAAUCAAAAUGCAAUAAUAUUUCUUAAUACAAAAUGAGGCAUAUAUAUAUAUACACAAAUAAUGUUUUGCCUCUUCCUAUGCACUCUACCUACUUUAAUGUAUGACAGCAUAAUAAAUAUAUGUGAGUAUUGAAAUAUCAAAGAUGAGCAUGUUUCAUUUUAUCAUAAUUCGAAUUUGUUUUCUAUUUACUUA